AAUCACAGAGGGAAGGAACAGAACGAGGCUGUCAUGCAUGCUUCUCACAGCUGCCUCUGAUGUCCUCUUGCGGAUAUCGUAUCCUGAUCAGCUUAGCUCGCCUCAGUCCGGCGCAUACAACCAAAUCCAAGUGGAUAUCGUAUCCUGCCUUUACGUACGGCGACUUAUCUCUGUCGAUGAACUUGAAGAAACGUCCCGGAUUUCGAUGCGAUUCGUCCAGCCGACAACAGCUGCUCUGCCUCCACCCCUGUCCCCCUUCUCUCUCUCUCUCUCUCUUUUGCUUGGCUUCUUUGCUGCUCUUACUUCGGCUGCAGAUUUUUUAUCCUCGCCUCGGCCCUUGGGAGCACUGAAAGAUCGCACGGUGGAUCUCUCUUUGUUUGGCUCUUCUCCUUGUGGAUACAUCAUUUGAUUGGACGUCACAUCUACCACAAAGAAGACUGUGCUUGAGGUCUUCAGUUGCUGCACCGAGGGUGCGUUAUGUGGUCGAAUGGCGUGCGAUUCGUGUCACGCUUGUUGAUGUCCCAGAUCCUGCAACGGGUACUGGUCCUGCGGCGGAGUCAGGCGGAGGACAUGCAGUCGACAGCGCGCCGGAAGUACGGCAGACUCAUGUGACUGUACCCUCUCACGAGACUGUGUCCUCCUAAAUAAUCUUUUCUUUACGAUGACUGUAAACUAAAUCGCCAAUCAUACAUCUCUAAGCCUCUUUGUUCAACUUCAUCACAGAAGCCAGACUCAUCAGAAUAUAUGUUUCGAGUCGCUCCGUCACUUUGUGGCGUUGAACGAGGAAUCAGACAAAGCAUAGAGAAGAGAAAAAAAGAGUUUGGAUCGAUCGAAACUGUAAAUACCGUCUGGUUCUUGAAAUACUAUUAAUUUUUUAUAGGAUACUUGGCUGGGGAUCUAAUUGCGUGCCGCUGUUGUGCACCACCUGUCACCAUCACCCUCUUCGGAAGCUGCGUGACAGCCCCAGGGAUCGAUUCGAUGUCCAAAGGAAGCAAACAAAGCAGGAUGGGUGGCCUUUCGUUUUGCUUGUUUCGGUUUCCCGUCACAGAGCAGUGUGCUAAUACGUAAUCACAGAAGUAGAAAGAACGAAACCAUCCUUAACUGGUUGCAGGGCAGCCUCUCCUUCGUUCGUGUCCAUGUUGAUAGGCACGAGCGUACGUGGGCACGACGAUGACUGCGAUGGAGAUACGCCUUCCCUCCCCCAGUGUUUCAGGUUUGACUGCGCUCGCCUCUCGCCCGGUGACGUGCUCUGUCGGAUGUCUGCUCAGCGGUGCUGGUGAAGUCUUCACAGUGUGACUGUUCUUCGCUCCCUCCGCCGCCUUCGGAGAAGGAAAGAAAGCGAGCAGGUAGCGUCGAAGGCGAAGGCCAAGACGAUCUCUUGGACGAAUGACUUGUUUGUUUGCGGCCAGCAGCAGUUAAUAUGUUGUUGCGUUCACGAAAUGUUUGCUAUAAUUUAGAUAGAAAAUAAAAAAGAAAAAAAGCCUUCCUAUUGGUUAAUAUGUUAUUUACAAACAGUCGAAGGAUAGGCAUGUCAAUAUCUCAAAAGGAUAAAUACACAUGUAUUAGAUCUCAUUCGCUAUAAAGGAACCCAAAGAAGCCCUCCUUAUUCGCUGCUCUCACAGCUGCGGCAGCCUUUCCUCUUGCACGGUGACGCAAAACGAGCAGGAAGCAAGAGAUGAAACGAAGUCGAGCAGAGGGCGCGAUGCCGUCCUCGAAGGCCUCCGCCGAAGCCUUCGGGAAGGCUCAGCGAAGGCAGAAGGCGUCGACGCCGAGGCUGGCGACGGCGGUGGCUUCGCUGGAGAACGCAGCGGCGAUGGGCGGAGGAGAUGACAAGAACCCUGCUGCUGCUGCUGCCUCCGCCGCCGACAUACGGCAGCCGUCUUUCAUUCCCUCUGCUCCGGCGGAGGAGGAAGCGGUGGGGUGGGGGGACGGGGCGGCGGAGCUGGGAGAGUGGUGGUGGUGCCUGUGGGGCGUGGAGGAGGAGAAGCUCUUGGGCUGGUUCCCGUUCGUGGACGAAGACUUCCUCUGCUCCGAUAGCAGGGGAAGUGAGGGGCCGGGCGGCCUGCUCUGGGAAGAGGAGGACCAUGAUAUCUGGGAGCUGCAAAACAUCCACGAGAUCCCACACGCAGCAGCCAAAUAAUUAAAGGUGGAAAUUGGAGGGAAAGUAGGAAUCAGUGUGAAGAAGUAGAGGACAAGACAGAUUAGGAAGAGAAAAGGAGUGAAGAAAGUAACAAGACAUGGGUGAAAGAUUGCAGCUUUGGAAGUGAAGUGGGUUUUUAAUGGUUUCUUGGUUGAUUUUGUGGCUUUUAUUGCUCUGUUCAAAUAUAGCGCUCGGAGCUGAGGGCCAGGUGACUCACUCGAAGAAUGAUAUUUCUUGUGCUCUUGUCUUCUUCUUCUUCUUCGCUCUAAUUCUUGAAUUCUUCCACCUUCUCUGUCUCUGGAAGAUGGGAUUCCAUUUUGGCUCAGAGAUGGGUGAUGUGGAGCAAAGCAGGAAAUGAUGCGUUCUUAUAUUGAUCCUUCUGAUGCUUGUGUCUCAUAUUUCAUCUAUGUUUGUAUCUAGUAUUCUAGCUUUACAAUGGGAGGAAUAUAUUACCACAAACUAGAAAUUUCUCAAGAGAUCUAUAGGGAUGAUUUGUGAAAUGAUUCAUGGGCGGAGAGUAUCAUCUCUGCUCGGUUUGAUCCAGGAGGUUCUUCCGGGCUCCUUACGGACUCUGCUUCCAUUUUCUCUAUUUUAAUUCACUGCUAUGGUUGUAGAAUUCAAAUCAAUAUGAGCUCAUCUUACAAAGAAUGAGAGGAACAGUAGUUCCAAAAGAAGGAGAGAAAUCAUGUCAGGCGUUGGUUUUUCUGUUCAUGCUUGCCGCCGACAGCUGAACUGAAGCUUGUCCAACAGCAUGCGCAGGCUUUGGUUCUUUGUACCGACAGCCGAAGUAGAAGAAGCUAAACGGUGUCAUUAAUUGGUUCUGUGCGUGUACUGUGGCUCUGUAUUAAUGCUGCAAUUUUCCGGUCACCAUCUUUGUAAUGAUAUCCAUUGAAUGAUCCAUGAGACGAAGGGCUGAAGGUACAUGACAGCAUUACGAAAGGAAAUUAACAACCAACUGCACAUAUUACGAGUGUUUGAGCUUACAGCGUUAUUGAUUUCUGAGUCAACAAUAUGCUUCACGUUGAUCUCGAUAUCAACUGUAAAAUGCUGCAUCUACUAUAGGGAGACAGGGGAAUCUUGUCUUGUUUCAGUGUCAGAUUUCUCGCGUGAUGAAUUAUUCUUCGUGAAGAGCAAGAGAUGGAGAAGUGCAUGCCAACUUUGCCUGUGCGACCUUCCACCGCUUGCUUUACAGCUUUAGCGUUGAUCGAAGUUGUUUCCCUGCGUCUUUGUUGCAGCAUGUGGAGUGGCAUCAGAUAUGAGUGCUUUGAGAUCAUAGUAACAGUAUUUAGGCACGCCUUUUUAUGUAAAGAAGGCAUUCUAUUCACCAGUAUGGAUUGUAAGAAUGGUUCUUCCUGUUUCCUACGACCAAUGUCGCUCGUCGGAGCAUCUUGAUGCAUGUACAAGCCACUGCCAUCGAGCUCCUAUUCGCAGACCAAUAAACACAGCUGUAAUCCUCCUGCUUUGAGUUCCUUUUCCGGCUACCAAUCAAAAACUCGAAGCACUAAACGUUUGGCUACUGUUAAUGCUAAUCCUUUUCCCAGUCGCAGCCAUCAAAAGUGUUUCCUUCCCCUAAAGCGAAAGAGUGACUACACCAACUCGACUUGGUUGACGAAGAAUGAUAGGAAACAAAAAGAGAGCAGUUUCUGUGCUGUGACUAAAAGAAGAAUAAAGACGGCUAGAUUAAUUACUGGUCGGUGGAGAGGAUGAAGUCACACUAAGGGUUUCUUGCUGGUCUAUCAUCCCUCGUCUUCGUGAGAGGCUCAGCCAAGCCGAAAACACCUGUCAGGCGCAGAUCACGAGAUGUGAUUUGCAGCUGGCAGGUUGGUUUCAGAUGACCUCCAAUCUCUCCGACUGCAGAGGCAUGUCCUGGCAAAUGACUGUGCCCGUAAACUGAGCUUUCCGAUCUGCUAUGAAGGCGGCAGCGGCAGCCGACAUUGCUGGUCUCUCCAACAGUCAUCGUGUCCUCCUUCCGUGCCACAGUGCGCAACCACGGGAAAGCUCAUCUCAACGAUGCCUCGUUGGCCACAAGUUGAUGCCCACCCCUCUCUCUCUCUCUCUCUCUCUCUCUCUCUCUCUCUCUCUCUCUUGGACAUUUCCUUGAUACGGACUCGAACUUGCAGUUGGGACGUAUGCGGCUAGAAAUGUACGUACGUUUAUCUUGACACCAUCGUGUUUAUUUCGCCUUUUGGCCUUUGCAAGACCGUGUCAGCCAGUCACUUCAUAUCCCUCCUGCCUGGAACCUCCGAGCUUAUCCUAGUCCUCGCGAGACAUGGCGGUGGUGGGACUUUGUAGAAGAUAUCAAUAUCGUGUUUGUCUAUUGAAGACAGAUGGUUAGAUUAGGUUUCCGAGAAGCUACCCCCGAGUGUCAUGAUAGAGAGUUUUGAUGGUGAGGAUGGAUGAUGAUCGGCGGCAUGUGCAGCUGCCUCAACUUACGGUUUCAUGGAUGCUGCGAUGAAUUUUCCGGUGACGAUUCUCUAACUUUCUCGAGGAACACGUAGCUGCAGCUGCGAUCCGCAACAGGUCCCCGGUUUACCCACAUCUCUAUGGAUUGGUGGAAGAAUGAGCAGAGGAAGUUUCUCUCGAGGUUUAAACAACGGUAGAGAAAGAAGGAUUAGUCUGUUCUUGAGAGGAAGAAGAUAUAUUUAAUUAAAUUUUUUAUCGAUUAAGCUAAUUAACACUUUUGAUAUCUGUCUCUUUGGAGUUUGGUGACCCGUCACCGCCUUCCUCGCACCGAGGAGAAAGCGGUGGGAGAAGCUAUAAAUCCUCGAUGGGGCUGUCUCACGCUGUUGCACGUUUUGCGAUGCAACGAAACAAGGAGUCAACCUCGGUUUACGUUGACAGAGACGGUCAUUAUUUGUAUAUCCACAUACAAAACAUCUAUCCAUUUUAGGUACACAAGGAACCGAGAGGACUUUUCUUUUGAUGUGAUUCGGCAUACGGACUCGAGAUGGAUUGGGGCGUUUGCGUUGCGUGGUGGCGGAUCCGCAAACACGCCAGGCUUGUCGUUCGGAUCAUGUGCGGCUCACAUUGAUGUGAACUCCCAAAUCAAUCGUGCUCCUCGGAUGCGAUUGAUUGAUGCGCACGACUCCUUCGAUGGGAGGGUGAAAUCUGGGGAGGUUCGGACGCCCGGUCCAACUCUCCCAUGUGAUCCGCUCGUCGUCCGGGCGGACAAACUGUCCUGCCGAGUUAGGAUGCUGUGGCCAUCACCCAUUCAUUGAGGCAGUAGCCAUCAUGAUUACGAUGGACUUAAUCGGUGCCCAUCUCGGACCGAACCGGUUGAACCCACUUAAAGGCUCUGGAGCCUUCGGUAGGCGUGAACCGGCGGGCCCAUGUUCCUUGCCUAUUCCCUUUGUUGGGCCCACGGUACGAUUUGAUUGACUUCACGACUGGGCCCCGCAAAUGAACUCCCAUUCUUGUGGUGGCGGUGAGGGCAGUACGUCACGUGAUCUGACACCUACCGGCCUUUUGUGAGUCACCGUUCGAGAAAGCAAAAAAACAAAUGCCGCAAGAAACGCUUCCCACCGAGAACGAGAUGGCUUCCAAGAACAUCCAGCCGAGCUGAGAAGACCAAGCCGGGCUCCGAGCUGGUCCCCUCCCUCCGGACGCCAACUCCGGACUUGAAAUCCGGCUCGAUGCGGACGUGUCCUCUUAACAUUUUGGCCCUCCUACUUUCACCUAUUAUAAGCACGAACGAAAAUUCCGCCUUUCCCACUAUAUAAACCCCCUCCCAGCCGCUCGGCCGUGUAGACUCGCGUGCGCUUAGUGCUUUGCCUUUUUAACCUUCCUACGAUAACCCUCCCCUUGCUUUACCGCUGUCUUCGUAUUGUACACCGACGCCGAAGUAGUCCUUUCACUAUCGCUUCCCUAAUCCACGCUUGGCCUUUUAGUUCCUAUGGAGGAAUCCGUCGAACACAAGAGGCGCCGAGGCGAGGAGGAGGGCUUCCCGGAGAGUUCCUCGCCCGCGGCCAAGCGCCUUCACGAUGACCUUCUCCUUGAUGACGACGACGCAGGCGCCCGGGAGCAGGACCUCGCCUCCGUUAUGAAGAGCCUGGAGGAGGAGAUUUCUCUCCCGUCGCCUAUGCCGCCUCAGUCGCAGGCUGCUGUGUGGACAGACCAGCCGGAUUUGGGGUACCUCUGCGAGGCCUCCGAUGACGAGCUUGGCCUACCGCCGCCUCCUUCGGUUCCGUCAUCGUCCGUCGAGGGCGGCGAGGCCCCAGAGUUGGAAGCCUCCACUGUCGCCACCGAAGGAGGUGCGACGGAGGCUGUGGAGAUCGGUCAGAUGUGGGGAUUCGACGACGAGUUCAACGGCUACGGGUGGCCAGAUGAAGUGUUCGGGAUCGGGUCGGAGUGUUGGGUGGUGGCGGAGUCGGAGAACAGGAUGCUGUUCGAAGACGCUGACGCCGCUGACUGUUCGCCGGCCGACUUCGCGGAUAUCCCCUGGCGGUCGGAGACGCUUCCCGCCGUCUGAUCGAUGUCGGACGCAUCCAGCUUUUCUCCAUUAAAGUUUUUAGUUUGUAAACUUUCGAAAAAAUAGAAUUAUAUAUAUAUAUAUUUUAAAAGGACCCAAAACUUGCAGCAGAUCCGAAUCGCUUCAUCAAUUGAUGUCAUCUGAUACGAGAAAAGGUAGGGAAUUAUAUGUACUAUGAAUCUGUGGUUGCCCUUCUCAAUGGAACUCUCGUGAACCUAAUAACCAUGAUAUAGUGAUAACAACUCAAUUAUAUAUCAUAUUAAAUGACGUAGGAGAUCCAAACAUAUUGAAUGAUGCUCCGGCACCAUGUCAAGUGUCUUAUUGUGACGAUGAAAUGAGAUUUAUAUAUUUGAUUUCUUGGGGAUGGAUUUGGUGCCCAUCAGAACCUAUGGCUUCUGAUUUGGACCGGGUUUGAUUUUGGGUCGGGCAAAUUAACCCAAAUUCAGAUGGAUUUGGGCUCGUCUAACCCUAUCGGAAUUCACAUUAUAUCCAAUUGGACCCGGUCCGUUUUAUUUAAACUUUAAACCCACCUCUCAUCGAGGUGUCGGCGGGUGGCCCUCCGGAUCGUGCGCGGUCGUUCCGUCUCCUUUCGGCUAGGCAUCCAGUGAUUAGGGGGUCUAGUAGCGCCUAUAAGACUCUGCCCUAAGCUUCGUGUUCCGUGCUCUCCCUUCUCUGUCUCUCUCUCUCUCUGAUUCUCCACUCCGAUUGCUUGUUCGUCGCUUCUUGUGACCGGGGACAUUGACUUGAUCCCACCGCUGCUUGGGGAUGAUCGAAGACUGGCCACCAUCAUCGCCGUUCGUUCUGAUGGCACCAAGUCUCGAGUUCGAAGAGGAGUCGAUGGGGCCACCGCCUCCCUAUUUCUCUUCGUUGUUCCUUGCGUGCUGCUGGAGGGAUCUCCUUCCUCAGGUGUGUCUUCCCCAAUUCUUGUUGCAAUGUUGAUCGCUGCGUUCUGAAAUGGACCGUCUGAAACGGGCUCAUUUACACUACAUGGGCCGGUCCACUGAGUUUACAUGUUCUUUUACUGGAGAGAAGGCAUGCCGACUGCGUGUUUUCACGUGCUCCGCACAUGGGAACUCGGAUUGGGAAGUGCGCCCACGUAUUUCCCAGGAAGAGGUCUUUUCCCGUAAACACACCAUCUGACUCACUUACACUAAUAAUGAAGUAAACGGCAUCAUCGUGCACGGCCUCCGCUCCGAGCGUGCGAGGUGUUGUUCCGCACGUGCCGUGCCUUUUUUAUAGUGGCUUCAUCUCUACAAACGGGUAUUUAAUUGAAGUUUUAUUGUUUAUCGUUGUGGUAUCGUCUAUUGAGCCUCACGUGAGGGCUGUAUGGUUGUGUGUUCUUAUGAAAAUUUGGGGUAGCUUAGUGGUAGUGAAUUUAUCGAUAGUUAAUAUGCAGUUGUUAUGUGUUAUCAAAAUCUUCCGUCUACGUUUAUAAAGAUUUAAAGUAGAUAAGUAUACAUUUUCUUAUUUUUUAUGAUAAGAAAGAUAAUAAUAAAUCUUUUAUUAUAAUGAAGGACAUUGUAAAUUUUUUUUUUGAUUUCUUUUGAAUUAAUCGAACUUAUAUCUUGGGAUCUCGUAUUACUAACUUAGGCUUCGAAGAGAUUUAAAAAAUUAUUUUUGAUCUUGAUCUCAAUGUAGGUAGUACCUUUGGAGCUCUCCGGAGUCAUCUCGAAACUACCAUGGAUCCACCUCGUAAGCAUGAUAUUUUUAUCUGGAAAACAUCUUAAAUAUUCAUAUACAUACAAAGGUCACAUCAGACUAACCAAUAGGUUAAUGAUAUUUUUUUUCCUAAUGUCAUAAAAUUCAACAUGUAGAGUCAAUGAUUGGAACCAUCGGAAACUUCUCAAAUGCCACUUUUUAUUGCCUUACAGCCUUACAACCCACGCAUUGCCAUGGAUGAAAACUACAUAAAUGAUUGGAAGAUAUGGCAAGAGAAAGUCCUCUGAUUGUUAGAGAAAAAGAACGUUACCAACAAAGGGAUGAAGACAAAAACAUCAACUUUUUUGACUGUUUGGUAUUGUGCUUGACAAAAUGCCACAGCCAGGAGACCUUUUGACGGGAAACUAAUACUGAUUGAGAAUUUAGAUGGUGGAUCGGGAAUUACAUUCAAUGUCCAUGGCUUACGUGAUCGAGGAUAAAUUGGACUUUAUCGUCAUUUGAAGUUUGAGAGUAAUGGUUGAUUAGAGAUUGAAUUAUCGCUAUAGAAUUUUGUUUGGUGCUAACAGUCAUAUCAAAAUUACAUUAAUUCAAUUUCUAUAGAUUACUUGCAUCCAUCACGUUAUAGGAAUUUAUGUGUUUGAUGAGAUUGAAAUUUCAUUCAAAGCAAAAGAGCCACUGCCGAUGUCACUGAUUGACAUUUGUUUUGGGAAUUAUAGAUUGAAAUUUUAUUUGUCCAGUGUCAAUGAUUCAAUCAUGUAUACAUUUCUAGUAGGAAGACUUUGGUAAGUGAUGCCAACCGCGUGUCCCGACUGCUGCACAGAGAGAGAGAGAGAGAGGUAAUGCUUGAGUCGUGGGACUUCAUCUCUUCUCUCCUGCUUGAGAUGUGGGCUCUGCCAAUAGAAUAUGGACAUUCUUUGUGUUGGAAGAGUCUACGCAUGCGGCCUCAUCACACCCACCCCCGUCACAAGGCGAACAUGUCAUCGAACAGUAAACCGACGUCCUUUCCACGAGUCCACGAACCUUCACCAUCGAAAGAUAAAGAGUAGCAAAUUCCCACUUUCGAUAUUGGUAAUAUUAACUUAUUUGUGGGGGUAAUAAGGAGAAGGUAAAAUCAAAUUAAUCACCGUAAUAAUAUAAAUUACUCGGGUAAUCUAUGCGCUGGAAACGUUUUGGUUUCCUUGUUGGUAUUUAUUCCAACUGUUGCCGUUUCCGAAUUAAUCACCCCAUCAAUUGCGUAUUUAUUCUCCCAGUUUGUCUCCGAGAUGUUUUCAUGGACCCACUUCUCCACCCGGAGGCUUCCAUGCGUGGCCCACUUUGUCUUCGAGCAUCAGUGGGACACCAGACCGGGUCGGCGUCGCGUUCCCUUAUCUCUACGAAUCCCAUCGUAGCCGUUAACUCAAUGGAUUCCUACUCGAGAUUCGUGACGUAACGAGAAAGGGCCCUCGGCAACAAAUCUGAGCCGUACGCGCCUCUGCGGACUUAUGUUUUCGUCACCUGCUUCGGUUUCUCUCAUUAUUAAUGCGAACAACCCCGUCAGUCUUCUUCCGUUCUCCUCCUCCCUCUUGGCUGUGGGGUUUUAGCGGUGAAGCGAUCGAGUCAGCGGAGAGGGAACGCGAGCUACGUUUAAGGGGCGGUUUGGAUUUAUGUCGUCUGGUCCCUUCGAUCUAUUGUUUCUCGGUGCUGGAAACUUGGGAGCUUCGGAUCGGCUACUGUGUGCUUCUGGUGUCAUCGCUGGUCUCUCCCUCUUUCUCAUCCUCAACUUCGUCUCCUAUUCUUCACAGUGGCCGAAGAGGAGGGAUUCGAUGCAAUAUGCAAGGUAUGGAUGUAUCGCACCCGUGAUCUUUGAUUGGAAACAAACAUCGGGGCAAACGCCUGAAGUUGGUUGCUUUCGGUGUUCUUGGUUGCAGGGCUGGUUUUGGAGUGACGUAUUUCGGAUUUCAGCAUACAUAUCUGUGUUGUUUCCGAUUCAUCUUCUUGAGAGUAACCCUUACUUGACGGAGAGAUCCAAAAAAGAAAAGCCCACCUUUUCGUUUUAUUUUUCCUUUUUGUUUUCGAUUUUGAGAGGAGAAAUGACGCCCGGUGAGCGCUUGUGUGGGAAACAGCAUCAUAAGCCGCUGAGGAGGAGGGGGAAGAAGCAACGCCACCGAACCGAAGCCGCUUCCCAACUCCAAUCCAGACUACUCGCAAGAAGAAUCCGCGUCGUCUUCGACGAUCCCGACGCCACGGAGUCGAGCGACGACGAGGGGAUGAACUACUCCUGCCGAAAGAAGAGGGCGAUUCACGAGUUCUCGGUGCUUCCCACAUUCCCUUUGUCGCUCUUGCAAGCCUCGUCGGAGGAGAGCAGCGGAAGGAAACCCAAAAACUCCCGGAGGCCGAAGGUCAUAACACUCGGCUCGGUGAAUUCGACUUCCGGCACCUCCCCCGUCAAGUUUAAGGGGGUCAGGCAGCGUCCUUGGGGGAAAUGGGCGGCCGAGAUCCGUGACCCCAUCCGCGGCGUCAGGAUUUGGCUCGGCACUUACGACACCGCGGAGGCAGCCGCCGCAGCUUACGCGGCUGCUGCGCGCCGCUUUCAGUCUGAGAAGAAAAUCCUCGCCGCCGACGUGUCCUCCAACUCCACCACCACCUCCACGUCAUCCUGUGCCUCGAUGCACUCCGACGCCGUGGCUGUGGCGGUGCCCCCCUCUCCCUCAUCCGUGCUCGACAUCUCCGCAUCCGCCAUCGCGGAGUAUAGCCAGGUGUCGCCCGAGAAGACCGCCCCGGCAGGAGCAGCAGAGCGGUGCUUCUCGGAGCUCUUGAUGGAGCAACAGCUGGCGUCCCCCUUCUCGUUGGAGUCGGCGUUCCCGUUCGAGUCGGACCCGUUUCUCGAGUCGGUGCUGCUCGACGAGGAGUUCGUGCCGCUGGAGUGCCUCCCCGUCUUUGAUGACGACAUCGUCGGCGAUGAUUUUCCCAGCCUCGAGGCCCUCAGCCAAUUGAUGGACUUCGAUCUAUGAUAGCGUGAAGGUUUUGCAGCUUAGUCUCCAGCAUCACUGCUACCAUUAUUUAUCUCAGCAAGAAAGAGAUGUGUUUUUCGAGAUUUUCGUUCAAUUUUGCUUCGUGAGUGAGGACUCUUGGGUUUUUCCGGAGCUGUAAGAGCCGCCCCCAAGAAGACGACUUUUCCUUGUCAUUGCUUGUUGGUCUUUUUCUCUAAAACAUAGUCUUGCUUUCGUUCGGCUAUCGCAAUGCGUUCGCCAUGGAAACUGUGCGUUCGAAGACUGGUCGCUUGUCCUUAUUCCCUCAAAGCUGUCUUCCAUUCUUGGUGGAUGCUUGUGUUGAUGAUGCCCGAGGGGGAAAAAAAGCAUGGCUGGUGUUGUACCGCAUGUUAUGCUCUCUGUUCCCCACAUUGUGAGCUCGGACUUUGUCUCCAAGCCAAGGUUGGUGGUGGAGUUCUUUAAUGCUGCCCUGCUGCUGAGAUCUUUUUGGUGCUCCUUGUAUAUGGAUGGUCGUCGAGCUCUCCGUCUCUGUCAAACAGGGGAGCUGAUACAGUGAACUUUCACGUGCCAAUGCUACUUUGACAGUGAAGCGUCAGUCGAGUCAAAGCUGCUUCUGCUCUUCUAAACGCAUCGAUCUUUUACGGUAUUAUAUUAUUCUUAGGUACACUACAUAAUUCUUAGUAGCCAUAUUUAUUACUGGCGUUUGGAGGAUGUAUCUGUUGGCCAUUGAGACAUUGAGGCCCUUCCCAUGGUCAUGUGUCACUCCUCUCUCUCGCUCGUAGAUAUGGUCUCUCAACCUGCAAUCCAUUUAGUCGAAUCAAUCGAUCUACUUAUGCUAUUUAGGAAGAGCCUAUUUUUUUGUUUCCGGUGGCAAAUUGAACAGUCCCAUGCUACCUUGAAGGUUGUGCCCCAAAUCUCCUCCUCCAUCGCCGGCAAAGCAGUGACCUUGUUCUUCGGAUGCUCAUAGCUCCUGAGUCCAGUGGACGUCGACAGGAAACACCCUUGUUUCAGAUCCCGACUGGUUAGCCAUUGCCAUACUCGAACAGCUUAUCGUACUAACCAAGGAAGUAUGGAGUCACCUGGCGGAAAUGAUGCCAAUGAUUUCCCGCAUGCACUUCUUAGUUCCUCGGCGUCAUCGGAGAAAGCUAGAUAGCCAUCGGCGGUUAUCCCCAUGAACAAGGGCACCUUACCAUCUCCGUCCUGACGAAGUCACACGAGUGAUGAGAAGUGACCACCUUACCAUCUACCGUGCGCGCCAUGAUGCUUACCGAUGCCGCGAACACCGUCGAGGUGACGUUGUCGAAGACGAUGAAGGCGAAAUUGCCUACGAGGUGAGCGAGCAUGAGGUUUGUGGGAUAAGGAGCGCGGUCUCGCAGUGCCCGAUACGCCUCCAUCACCAGCACCACCUCGCUUGCAUUCUUCCCCAGACCGUACUGGUGUUUCAGGCUCGGCAGGUUCUCCAGCGUCCCCUUGAACAAGCAAAAUAUCUCGUCGCUCACAGCGAACGACCUGCCGAGUACCGACGACGGGAGGCGUGGUUGGUGAAUCAAAGAGAUGAUACGUUGAAGGGUAGUAGUGCUCCUCACCUUGGUUGUAGCAGGGACUGGUUUUGAUGGUUGUAGGAGAUACGUGCAGCGCUGCCGAUGUUGAUGGCAACGGAGGAUGGGUUGUUCUUGAGGAAGGCAUCGAGGAGCUUGUCUGCGGUCUUCUUCGCCGUCGGGGUGCGGUGGCCGGCUCGGAUGAGCUCCUCCGGUGGGCUCACCACUGCGCCGCUGAAGACCCCAAGCAUCUUUGGUGGAGGAGCAGAACCACCCAAAACAGGAAGGCUCCUUUUAUAGGUCUUCUUGUGCAAUGUCACAGCAUGAAAUUUUCUUACCUUUGUAUGAGAUAAAAUAUGGUCGACCACAGGAGCAUGGAAGUGACCGCACUACAAGCUUCUUCCCCCUGUCGUCGUUACGAAGGAGACAACAAAGAUGGUUCUGGAAGCCGUUUCUGUGAAGCAAAACCACCAUGGCAGGCAAGCAAAGACAAAUGGGGGUAAGCGUUGGGAAGAUCGACACUUGUGGUGUUCAUCGGGUGGAUUCGGAGCAAAAGUGACGUGGAUUCCUUGGAAGAGCUCGAGUUAUGUAACGUAUGACGCUCUGCGGAACAAGCCGAGGCUCGUUACGAUUCAUGUGGGGGUCGCUGUCCGGAGGGGGAAGAGAGAUGUAGCAGAACUCUUAACGAAGAAGACAUCGAUAGAUGUCUUCCAACUUUUCGACGACAGCUUGAAAUAGCUUUAGCAGAGCAAAGUUAUCGUAGAUUUGUUCAGAACAUGGUAAAUUAAUGCUUACUUAAAGUCAGAUUAAUCGUGAGAAACUGUUCUUAAGACUGAGACUGGACUGGGAUCCACUAGCAAACAUGUGUUCGUAGGAUGUUAAGCCAAUGAUUCGAAUCAUAUUUUACAGGUAUUUUUAGGUUGUCGUGGAAGAAUUAAUGUAAAACUUGGCGAUUUCGAGAUAACGUGUAUUUGCAUAUCUUUAAAAAAGAGAUUUUUUUAAUCAUAUGUUUAAAUCAUGUAUAUAUAUGAUAAUUUUAUUUUAAUUAUAGAUCGAUUAAAUAUUAGAAUACAUAAUGAAUGUAAAGUUAUCAUUUUAUAUUUAUCUUUAUCUUGAUCGUCUAUCAUACCCCUAUUAAAUUAUUUUUUUAUAAAUAAUAUUAAUCUUGGAACGAUGUAAUCGAGAUACCUUAGGAGCGAGAGACAUUGUGAGAGAGUCAGCUAGUUGGUCAUAAAUAUAGACAUGCGAAGCAAGUAGUUAUGUCUGAUAACUUAUCUCUAAUAAAAUAAAAGUCGAGAGCAAUGUGCCAUGCAAGAGUGAAACAUCAACUUAAAGCAUAAGCAAGUGGUACUGACAUUAUCAUAGUAUGUAGGUGGUACUACGUCAAGUUCAUAUAGUAUAUUAGUGACAUAAUCAAAUUAUGCAACGGUAGAGACGAUGGCUUAGUGUUUAGUUUCAAUGGUAGAUUUUAUGACUGUAUUUUAUUUUUUAAAACUCUAAUCGAUCAGGUUUGCUCUAAGAAAGAAAAUAUAGGCUAAUAUAGAUGUUCUAUUAUCAGUAUUGUUUAACCAAAUAGGAUCAACAAAGAUAUCGAGAUAAAAUAAUAAGUGUUUCCGAAUAAGAAGUACUUGAUUGAGUCCUUUUAAAAUAUCGCAGAAUAUAUUUUAAUGCAAACCAAUAAAUGAAAUACAUGGAUGUGUAAGAGUUAAAUAUUGUAAGAACUAAAUACUUGUUAAUACUAUAUGGGAUCCGUAGUAGGGCUAUUAUCAUGUAAUCUGAUCGACUUAAUAUAGAAGAGUAGGAUUGUAAUUUCUUUCAUAUUAUAAAUAUUCAUCUUUAAUAAUAAAUCUUGAAUGUAAUUUUUUGAGAUAAAAAAAAUGAGUGAAUAUUAUCUUCACUCGAAAAUAGCUUAAGGUUCCUAUAUCCUUGAUGGAUAAUCAAUAAAUAAGUUACUAAAUGAAUUACUUAAUCUUUAUGAAAUUAUUACCUAUAAUGAUAAUGUUAUCAACCUAAACUAGUAGAUAUAUAAUAUAUCUAUUUUGUUAUUAUAGAAAAAUAAAUUAUCAGAUUUGGAGUUAAUGAAGUUAGCUCAUAUAAGAAUGAGCCAAGUUCAGCAUACUAUACUCUUAGGGCUUGGCGUAGUCUAUAAAUAUUUUUUAAAAAAAAUUAUAAAUAUUAUUUAAAAAUUAAAGAUGAAUGAAGCCAAUGGAUUAUUAUAUAAAUGCAUCUUCAGUUAAAGUCCCAAUAAAAAAGUAUUGUUAUCAAUUAGUUAGCAUACAUGUCUUGAGUGAUAGUCAAAUUAAGAUGAAUCAAAUUUUCAUUGGUUUAACAAUUAGAUCGAAAAUAUUUAUGAAAUCAACAUUUGAUCAUUGGUGAAACCACUUAACCACUAGACGUGUUUUACAUCAAGUAAUGGAUCCAUCUAGGUUUUACUUAAUUUAAAGAUCAACUUACAACCAAUGAUAUUUUGUGUAAGGUGAGAUAGUAUAAGAGUCUAUGUGACAUUAUGGAGUAGGACAUCAUAUUAUUCACACAUUGCUUUGUAUUAGUAUAGAGAUUUUUAAGCUUUGGUGAAGCUUGUGGAUUCAGUAAGGCUACGUGGAAAGUAUGUGAUAGUGUGAAUAUCAAAGAUUUAGUGUGGUUUAAAGAUGUCAUUUUUGGAACGUGUUAUCAUGUGGUUCAAUAAUCAAAUUACUUAGAUGAACUUUUAUGAUAGUCUUGAUGUUCGCUUGAGACCAACUAGGUAUGACGGUAAGCUUGGGUUAAGAUUGAUUAAUUUUUAUUAUAUGUUAAAUUUGUUAUCGAUAAUUAUAAUAAUUAUUAUGAUUGAAGUUAUUCUCUAAAUUGUUUGGGUUGAAGUUGACAAGAUUUGAUAGUGUAACGUACAGAUAGAUAACUGAUCCAGUCUUCCUCUUUCUUUAUUUUAUAUACGUUUCAUAUUCGAUUAUAGCACCGAGGAGCAAAUCAAAUUUGCGAGGCGAAGCAUGUACAGCAAAUCAUAAAUGGGAGAUCAUAUAGAGGAAUCGCGUGUCUUCGUUAGUGCAAGCGUUCAUUGCGGUGUGAGGAGGAUGCAUUGAUUGGAAGGAGGCACCGGUGAGGAGGAAACGGUGCAAUUGCUGCAACGAUGACUAUUGCUCCAGAUCAACGAGGAAGCAGCAGUGUUAUUACUGUAGCGACAGGGGCAGUAGGUGAAGAAGAGCAAAAGAUGGCACAGGAAGAAUGCUGCUGAGUAGAGAGAGAGAGAGAGAGAGGAAUCUUUGAUGCUAUAGUAAAUCGACGAGGAAGAGGGAGUUAUUGUCUUUGGAGCAGCAAGGAAGAGUAAGAAUAGUCACUGGGCAAUAAAAAUUAGCAAAGGAAUUGUUGUUGCCGAGUAACGAGGAAGAGGAAGUCGUGAUUGAAGCAAGAAAGCCUUGAUUUCGUUCCUUCAGGUAAUGUGUCUUUAUACAGAUUUAAGGGAUAGAUUUUUCUUGAUUAUAUGCUUAAAUUAUAUAUACAUAUAUAUAUUAUAAUGAUUGAUCAUCAAAUCGAUUGAUCCUUUGUCAGUUGUUACGGAUCUUUCUAAGUCCUGUUUGAUACUGCUACUACUCAACUACUUGUCAAAGACCUUUUUUUUUCGGGAGCAGAAUGGUAGAACAGCCAUCUGCACUUUAUGUCUGACUUUGAUCUGACACUACUUCCCUAAAGGCUUAGCCUGGAGAUUCGCUUGCCAUGGAGUUCAUAUUUUUGACUUUACUUGGCUCCCUCACUCUCCAGGAAUGAUGAAAAAGGAGAAGCACCAGUGCCAACCAAUGUGUUGCCUCACAGGGACGAGGUAUUUGAAGGCAUGCCGAUGCUGGACAUCAUGGACGUGGGUUGCCAGAGAGGACGACGGACUUGGAUGUGCCAACGUUUAGCUGGAGAAGACGAACAAAUGUGUCGCCGAGGGAUGUCUGCUCACUGAUCACAAUCAACAAGAGGACGACGAUGUGGUGUACAGUGACUGCUUCGACCUGCAUGGUCUGCUCCUGUGGAGCAGAGACCGGCGAUGCAGUGUGGGAAUUUGCUUGCCAACGACACAGCAAGAAAUGUGCAAGAAUAAGACACAGUAAGAUAAAAUUCAUACAACAAAUACCCACAGGUUCUUUACAUGAUUCGGAGUUGACACCAAUGAUUCUGAACUCUCAACUUAGGACCUACGUGAUCGUUACACUCUGCACUAUCUCAGUGUUGUGGGAAUCUCAAGUCAUGGAAAGAGGAGGAGCGUAGGACUGGCCGUGUUCUGGAGGUGGUCGGAACCUGUUCUUUGCGAAGAAGGAAGGGAGAUGGUGAGGUCAAGGUUCAGAUCAUCAGCAUCACGAAAUCCAUUCUUGGAGUUGUUCUGCAACCCGUUGGUCGCGUCGUCGAUACUCGAUCGAGUCGCGUUGCCGGAGCUGUGAGAUCGAUGGAGCCGUCCGUUGUGGAUCACGCGGUGGUUGUCAGGGUCGAUACCCAUGCUUGCCAGCUUCUUCCUCAGAUGAGAGUUCCAGUAGUUCUUGACCUCGUUGUCGGUUCGCCCCGGCAGUCUCCCGGCGAUCAACGACCACCUGAAUCAAUUCAAACAAAUAUGGAGCAUAUACGUCUCUUUGGUCAUUCAUCGGUCAGUAAGCAUGCAUGCAUGCAUACCGGUUACCGAGUAGAGCGUGGAGCUUGAUGAUUAGGUCCUCUUCAUCCUCCUCGAACCUCCCCCUCUUGACAUCGGGGCGAAGGUAGUUGAUCCACCGCAGCCUGCAACUCUUACCGCAACGAAGCAGACCUGAUUAGGAAAGAAGCCCAAAAAGCUUUAGAUGCUUUCGUAAACGCAAGCGACACUCGUGGCAAAAGUGCUCGUCGCCAACCUGCAGCCUCGGGGAGCGAUCGCCAGCAGACGCGGCCAUGCGCUCUGAUGUAGUCGAUGAGCUUCUGGUCCUCUUCUUUCGACCACGCUCCCUUGUUGUUGUUGCCUCUGUUAACGCAACAAGGGCUCCUCAUUGUUGCAGAGCAAAGAGAGAGAUGUGCGAAGGGAUGAGGAGGAGGAGAAUGUUGGAGGAUAUAUAGGAGCGAGGUCGGAGGACGAGGGAGGGAGUUGACUGGAAGACGGAUAGGUUUUGGGGCUUGUUAGUUGCAGUGGUAGAACUUAAAAGUCUUCGCGAGGCUUGAAGGAAAGCAAGCAACCAAACAUUGUACGCAUUUCUCCUCUUCUCACACGCACGCAAGCUGACCGAUAGAUUUCCAUGUUCCGAGCAGUCACCUCCCAACCAUCUCUGGUGGUCACCAGCUCAUCAUAUCCAUGCUCCUAGCUUGGAGCAUCACAGGGACUUCAACUUCGACUAGAACACGGCCUUCAUGGGACCUUUUCCUCUGAAAGCUGUGGAGUCGGUCGAUCAAAAUCUCUAGGGUUUUAUGAAGCUUUGUUGGUUGAUGUUAGUGAAUCCUUUCCAAACAUCUCUUUGUUGAUUGAUGUCCCGCUAAAGCUGUUGGGAAAGGAUUCACCGUCUGUCUACUAAUGAACUCGGAUGCAAAUUGGAAUUAGACUUUGUAUGUAGAUUUGAACUUAAAUGCGUGAUGUAUGUUAAAUAAGUUUUAUAUAUAUAUAUAUAUUAUAAUAUAAAAAGAUUUAAGUUAAUUUGAAUGGUUAGGAAAGGGUCGAUUCUAUACCAAAAUCUAACGAUUAGUCCUUCGUGCACAUGUUGCACGUAGGCACUACUAAGCACGUAGUUAGAGGAUCUGUUGGCGAGAAGUUGGGGCUUGACAUGACAUUUUAUUUUACUUUUAGAUAUUGGAAAGAGAUUGCUAAAUCAAUAAUAAAUAAUAAUUUUUAUUAGUAUUAUUUUUAUUAAUGUAGAUUAUAAUUGUUUGAUUAGGAUCUCGAUCGAUUCAACAUCAACUCCCAUGUUGAUCUCUUAUGGGUAUUAAGAAUGUAUCAUAUCCUCUUCGUCCAUAAGAUGGGAAGCUUUGUAAAAUACCAUUUCUUAAUAUUAGAAAUGGUUAUACGCCUUCCUCGAUAAUAAACAUAAUCGUUGUGUCUUAAACACGGAGAGCAUAUAAUAAUCAUAAAUAUGACUUAUAAUAUCGAAUGAGCGACACCAUAUCACUCACACAAUGUCAAUUACCAAUCAAUAACAUCAAAAUAUAAUUUUAUAUCUUCGUAUAAAUGAUCAAAAGAUGACAUAAAUAUGACUCUGAACGCUUAUUCUCAACUGAGACCAAAUAAGCGUAUCAUUAAUCUUUUUUAAAUACUAGUCAAAAAUAUUUAAAAUGAAUAUAUAGGUUUCUAAUUAAUAUAUCGAUUUAAGAUAACAGAAUCACAUUCGACAUUUUUACGGUUUAAAUAACAAUAACAAUAAUAAUAAUAAUAAUGAUAAUAAUAAUAAUAAUAAUAAUAAUAAUAAUAAUAAUAAUAAUAAUAAUAAUAAUAAUAAUAAUUCUGAAACCGAGAGACCGCCACAUUCCUUCGAGCAACACGUGUCUUCCCUGACAAGUUCGUCAUAAGUCGAACACAUGAUAAAAACGUUAGUGGGUCCCAGUGGAAAGUUUGCUGUGCCGGUAACCGAUGGGUUGGAAUGUGGUCAGUUCUUCUGACCCCGCAUAUUUGAGUCACACUGCUUGGGGUGUCGAAGGGACACCGAGAAGCAACGUCUUGUGUUUUAACUGUAAAAGCUUCCAUCGGCGGCUCGCUUCCUCUCUCCUUCGAUCUCUCUCUAAGGUGAAUGGCGCAGCUGUCAGAGACGUACGCGUGCGUGCCGGCGACCGAGCGCGGCCGGGGGAUACUCAUAGCCGGCGACGCGCGGUCGGAUUCGAUCGCGUACUGCAACGGGCGGUCGGUGAUCAUCCGGAGGCUGGACGCGCCGCUGGAAGCGACGAUCUACGGGGAGCACGCGUACCAGGUGACGGUGGCGCGGUUCUCGCCCAACGGCGAGUGGGUCGCCUCCGCCGACGUCUCUGGGACAGUCCGGAUCUGGGGGAGGCACGGCGACCGCGCCCUCAAGAACGAGUUCCGCGUCCUCUCCGGCCGCGUUGACGACCUCCAGUGGUCGCCCGAUGGCCUCCGCAUCGUCGCCUGCGGGGACGGCAAGGGCAAGUCCUUCGUACGGGCAUUCAUGUGAGGGAUCCCUUCUUCCAAUUUGAUAUUUUUUUCCUCCCACAAGGAAAAUAAGAUGGUUUGGGCUGAUUUAGGGCUUUUGUUUGUGUUGUUUUGGACUCCACUUUGGAUCGGAUUAAUACUUCAUACUAUGAGAACCAGUAAAACAGAGAAGAAUUACUGCCUCACGAGACCGCAAAAUGCAGUAGUUCUUGAAAUAUGUCUUGUUGAUUUGAUCUUUGCUGAUGUCACUUUGAAAAUAGAUCUUUCCUUUCCGUUCCAUAUUAACACUAAACCUGGUUGUUAUUGAAGUUCCUUUGCCGCCAUAUGAAACUCAUUGAAAAAUCUUUUGGCCCUUCUUGAUAUUUUUUUCGUUCGAAUUUUACCGUUUAUCUAUUUUUCUGGAUAACUAUAAAUUCUUCGUUCUUGCUGGAAAGUUUCUGCCACUUUUGACAAAUUAAUAGAAAAAGCCAUGUCUGAGCGUUUUGGGAUGCCAUGUUUGUCUUUUUUCUUAAAAAUUAUUUAUCUUUAGCAAACAUAAUCCAUGAGUAAUGGUCAUUUAUUCAUAGGAAUGCUAAUUCGUAAAUUUAACAUUGUUUUUGCCUUCCUUCGCAGACUAUUUCUGUUGUUAGUAGUGUUUUCAGUAAAUGUCUGAUCAUUGCUUUGGCUGUGGAAUUUUGUUCUUGUGUAGGUGGGAUUCAGGUACUAAUGUUGGGGAGUUUGAUGGACAUUCUAGAAGGGUAUUAAGUUGUGCAUUUAAGCCAACCAGACCAUUCCGCAUUGUCACAUGCGGUGAAGAUUUCUUGGUGAACUUUUAUGAAGGGCCACCUUUUAAAUUCAAGCUCUCCCAGAGGUUUGUUUCAGUUAUAUCAAGAAUGAUCCAAGCGGUUUUUUGCUGACUUUUUCUUUAUCCAGCUUUCUUAGCUAUCAACAUGUCAUUGUUUCCUUACAGUUUGUCUGAGUUUUUUUCUACAGUAUGUAUAGAAUAUUGUUGAAUGAUCAAAUAACUUACUGCUUAGGCACUUCAAACAUGGAAUUUGUCUUGUAAUUACUUACCCAUGCACUAGUACUUAAUGGUCUGAAAAUUUUGAAGCUUAGUGAGAUGUUCUUCUCUUGUUUCAUUCUUUACAUCUUAGCAAAAGUCAGAACGGUGACAUGCUUCCAGACAUUUUCAAAUGAAUUCUUUGGACAUAGAUUAAAAAAAGGUUCUCUGCCUAUAAAUGAUCCUUUCCUAUUCGGUAGUUCAAGAAUUAGCCCUUGCCAUCAAGUACAUGAAAUAUAUUUGGGCACUCUAUCAUCCUAUAAUUAACAAGAAUUUAGUAUGCUGACAAUAAUUAGCCCUAUUAUCACCUCAUAGUUUCUUCCUGUUGUUAUACCUCUCCCUAUUCUUAUUUUUCUCAUUGUCGCCCCAAUCACCACCACCUAGGAGGUGAACUAUGAGUUGGUUGUCAUGAAGCUAGUGACAGUGGUUGCAAUGGUGAGAGCUGGAAAAGAGGUGGAUAUGAGGUUGAUAGUGAAUACAGAGACCGUGUUGCAAUAGUGGCAGGCUGUAUAAGAGGAGGAAUGUUCAUGCAAGGACUGAAUUUUUGAACAGCAUAUUGAGUAGACUGUGGAAAUUUCUUAACUUGGUUCUCCUGCUUGUGCAGCAAACCUUCCCUUUCUACAUCAAACAUAAAGAUGUCAUGUCAGGACAAGAAAACACACACUGUCAUAUUUCACUUAUUGAUUUUGAACCAGGUCCCCUCUGUUUUAUUUUUAAAAAAAAAAAUCUAAAACUGGUGUCAUAUUUUACUUAUUGUUUCUUUUCUUGUCUGCUUUUUCCUCAUAGUUUGGAUAUCAGACUUGGACCAUUUUCUGUAAUCAUGCCACCUGCUUGUGUUCAUGUGAUAUGAAUAUGCAGCCCACUUCUAUGUUUUUUGUUCCUUGCAUGAGAUGGUAAUUGCUCUAAUUUGGGUCCUUUGUAUGUGACUGCUGCUGAAUAAGUCUUAUCUAUCAUCUCUGAUCUAUUUUAGUAGGUUUAGGCAUGUGCAAAGUCAUCCAGUAUACAUAACCUUUCAGACACUGGAAAAUAGUUUUGUCUCACCAAAAUUGUAUGCCACUCACUUCCAUGUGAUUUCUUUUUGCAUGAAAUAAUACGAAUCCUAAGAAUAGGUCUUGGAUAUGAUUGCUGUUAAAUAAGUUUAGAGUGAUUUCUUUCUGUUUUAGUUGAUUUAGUCAUAUGCAAAAUGAUCUAAUACGCAUAACCUUCAUCAUAUACUGGAAAUACUUGAGUUUCACCAUACUGAGAUUUUUUUAACCUUUUGUCUGUCUAUUUUCUUGAUCUGCAGGGAACACUCAAACUUUGUUAAUUGUGCACGGUUUUCUCCUGAUGGGAGUAAGUUCAUAACUGUGAGCUCAGAUAAGAAGGGUAUAUUAUACGAUGGAAAGACUGGAGAAAAGAUUGGGGAAUUGUCUAUACAAGAUGGUCACAAGGGUAGCAUAUAUGCUGUAAGCUGGAGUCCUGAUAGCAAACAAGUAAACACCUAUCUGUGAUUCCAUUCCUUGAUGUAAUAUAUUAUUUGAAGUUCAUGUUAUGAAAUAUUCUGACUCAAUUACUUCUUAUGGUUUCUCAGUUGAUCAGUUAAUUACUUGUUACUACUUGACCCAAUUUCCUCAUGUCUUUCUCUCUCUCUCUUCCUCUCUCAUCCUUGCUCCCUCUCAAGUAUGAAAUACAUAUAAGUUCACUUGUAGUUUUAUCUAGUAGUUCCUGAUGGGACGAAUGAAUUGUGUAUGAUUUAGCUGCCGUAGUCCUCAAAAUUAUUGGUGGGCUGGAGAGUAUGUAUGAGCUAUAAUUGUCUCCAAAAUCUCUGGUGGGCUGAAAAAUAUGCAUGCAACAAAAGCCCAAAGUAACAUUAUAUAACAAAAUAUGUCACUGAACCUAAUAAAGUUCCAGUUUGUGACAACAUUACAUCAACUUAUGCUUCCAAAUGAACAUUUUCUUGGGUCAUCUGGUCUUUGACUUUCUAAUAACAGCUUCAUUGUAUUAAGUCACUGUGCCCAAGUUUGUUUUGGACAUGAUCUUUCUUCUCACAUUUGAUUUUCAUUUGUCUUUGUGACUUUUUUUUAAUAAAAUGUGAUUCUUUUUUUCCUCGAAUUUCUCCAUAAGUUAUCUUGCUUGUUUGUCAAACUUAGGUUCUCACAGUAUCUGCUGAUAAAACGGCAAAAGUAUGGGACAUUAUGGAGGAUGGAUGUGGGAAACUAAGGAGAACAUUGGCUAGUCCUGGCUCUGGGGGAGUGGAUGAUAUGCUUGUCGGUUGUCUGUGGCAAAAUGACCAUCUUGUCACAGUUUCUCUUGGUGGAACAAUGACAAUUUUCUCAGCAAGUGAUCCAGACAAGUCACCGGUAUCUUUUUCUGGACACAUGAAAAGCAUCACCUCUUUGGUUUUUCUUCAAAGUGGUCAGAAUGUCAUCUUGUCUAGCAGUUAUGAUGGAAUUAUUACAAGAUGGAUACGAGGCAUUGGUUAUGCUGGUAAGUUGGUUAGAAAGGAUAGUACCCAAAUUAAAUGUUUUGCUGCAGCUGAAGAAGAAAUCAUUACUUCAGGGUUUGACAAUAAGGUGAGUGUUCUUAUUGGCAUGUUAUUCCAUUAUAGUUUUGAAAUUGGCUUUAGCUCUAGUUAUGCCUUCAUUUUGCUACAUGUUAUUUUUGAGAAUUAUUGAGUUGCACAAGCUCUGCUGUUUGUGCAUGUGAUUCCAGAACCAACUACAGAUUCAAAGGUGUUAUUCUAUUUCCUAUUUGUUGAUCAUCAUGAUCAAUGAGGUAUGACUAAUAAAAGCCACUGUUUUCAUGACAUUCUUUCGGAUAGUGGUAGAAUUGUAAAACACUUUACAGAUAAUAAGGUCUAUAAGAGAUAAACAUAUAUCUAAAUGAACACAUUGUGAUACUCCAAUUUAGUCCCACAAUGGAAGUGGGAGGAUGUCACUUGAUUAUAUUGACUAAAAUCCGGGCCUCAAAUAUUUUUUAGUUACAUGAUUUCAAGCCUCUCAAGUUGGUGGAGCAGUUUCUGAAUCUGAGUUGGGGUCAUGCUACUUGGUAAUAAAUCAAAUCUAUAGUAGGUAUUGUGAGAGGGUAGAGUUGAAAAAAACGUUAUUCGUGGAUAGGCCUGGAGGCAUAUCACGACAUGAGUCACUGUUAGACUAGUUGUCAUAUGCCACCUACUAACCUAUCAAUUAUGUUUGACCUUGCACCUUGAUGAGGAUGUCAAGUCUUAAGUGGAAGAGAUUGCCAUACUUCAAUUUGGUCCCACAUUUGAAGUGACAAGAUGGAACUGAUUAUCUAGGGCUACAUGGACUUAUUAUCGUUAAGUCAUGCUUGAGCAUUUUGGGUCAUGUGAUUUCAGGCUAAUUAAGUUUAUGGUCAGUUUUUCUGUUGAGCUGACACUUGACACUUAUUUUUCUAUUGAUUCAUCAGUUAUUUUUCAUAAAUUCAUUAAAAUUCUUUGGACAAAGAGGCUAACGACCUUUGUGAUGUCAUAUGCUUACUUGACUUAAUUUUGGUCUUUGAAAUGUCAGUUUGCUUGUUCUUUGAUCAUAGUUGGGGUCCACAUCUUGAUGAUUCUUAUGCUUCAUUUAUUUUCUUCAUUCGAUAUCUUUACUCUCGUUUCCAAUUGAACUCAAUUGGAUGGCACUUUCAGUUAAGACAAUGUGAUCACAAAAAUAAUCCUACAGAUUGACUGUUGUUGCUGUUUUGAGUGUUUUUAUCAAUAUUGGCAUUAGUAGAACAAGAUAAUGAAAUAGUUACUAGUUACAUGCACUAAGCAGUGAUAACGAAGUUCCAUGACAGUGAGUGGUUAGUGUGGUUAAAUUUGGGAGGUUGCUUUGCUUUUUGUCUGCAUUUGAUGUUUUCCAUCGAUACAAACAAUUAAAAAUUAUAUAGAAAUAUAUUUAUUACCAUAAUUGGAAGGUUCUUGGGAUUCUUCGAACUUUAUACAACCAAGCCUAAUCUACAUAGUAGACUCAAAUAGCUUUAAAAUAAGAAGGCAUUAAAGCCUAUUCUAAAUAUUUCAUACAAGAUAUAUAACUUUCACAUGUUUGCAAAAAAAUCGACACAGAUUAUUUGCAUAUUCUUGUCUAGGUGACUUAACAAACAAGUGGAAAUUGGGACUAACUGAUUUCUUGAUACCCUUUCAUGUUAAAUUUCCCAUCUGAUCUUCUCUGGUAAGAUUUGGCUUAUUGUUGUUAAAUUUCAUGUUAAAUUUCUUUUAGAAAGCACUCGUCAAUUUGAUACCCAUUAUAAUUUGUUGUUAUUGUUGUGGUAUUGGUAUCAUUGUGCAAUGAUAAUCAAGAACUAGUUUCAUUUAGCUGUUUAAUGAUUAUGGUCAUUCUCUAAAUCUUAUUUCUUUCUUCUGUCUCAAACAGGUUUGGAGAGUUCCUGUUAACGGGGAUCAAUGUGGGGAUUCACAGCCAGUUGAUGUUGGGUCUCAGCCGAUGGGUUUAACUGUUGCAGCUCAGACCCCUGAACUAGCUAUUGUUUCUACUGAUUCAGGAGUUGUCUUGCUGCAAGGUCCAAAAGUAGUUUCACAGAUAAAACUAGGAUAUGCUGUAACAACAUCUGCAAUUUCCCCUGACGGAAAUGAGGUCAUCGUGGGUGGUCAAGAUGGGAAACUGCACAUUUAUAGUGUUAAUGGAGACACCCUUACAGAGGAAGCAAUCCUUGAGAAACAUCGAGGAACUAUUACUGCUAUAUGUUACUCCCCCGAUGCUUCCAUGUUUGCUUCAGCAGAUGCCAAUCGAGAAGCUGUUGUGUGGGAUCGGAUAUCUCGGGAGGUAUGUCUUCUUAACUUGGUACUGUGUUGUCUGUUUAGAGCAUGAAGGUAAGAGGGAUGUGUUUGUUUUGCUUUGUCCACCAUCUCUUGAUUUUACUAGCUGUCUAUAAUGAUUACUGCUACUAGAAAACUGGUAAAAGGAAGUUAAUUAACGCUUACUGGGUUAACUAAUGUUAAGUUAGAACUUGUGGUAAAAUAAUGUACCACACACAAUUUUGUUUCUUAUAAGAUCCAUAUGUUCAUUUUGAUCGGGUUAACAACAGAAGCUUUUGCAGACAAUAGAAAAUGUUUAGGUAAAUUUUCUAAAAGCUUGUAUUAAAUAAGAAUAUAAAUGAAUGAGAUCAGCUAUCAAUUUCAGCACUCUAAUGGUGUUUCUUCAGGGGCUGUUUUAUUUACAAUUUGCUUUCCUUUCCAGCUGUCCCCAUGUGUGUCAGUAACAUACAACAUUUGGAACAUCACAUAUGGCAUGAUCUUUGUCAAAAUGUGUCAAACUAGGUCUACUGUGGGAUGGAAAGCCUUGAUCUUUCUGAAAUAUGCAAUAUAAGCCAGUUAUAGUUGCUUGCUUUGGUCAGUGUGUUUCCAACUUCAAUUUGAACUGUAUAUAUAAUAAACAUCCUGAUCCAUAACAUCAUUAUAUGCUAGUAUUGACAAAUAGGUUCUCUUUAGCUCCUUGAGCCAUCUGAAGAAAAAUGUUGGUCAUGAAUAUUAACCAACUAGUACAAACGAAACUUUGAGUAAUUCAAUUCUUAAUUGCUAUUGUCUGAGCAAGUUAAAGAAAAGGAAAAUCACGAACCAUCAUGCUGUAUGCCAAUGACUCAUGGAUGGGGUUUGUGAUUAUGUGAUACUGUAUUGCACAUGCCUUGCAGGUCAAGUACCAAGAGAUUUCACGGACAAUCAAAUUAACUUUUUUUGUUUUGUUUUAGUAUUAUAUGAUAUUAUCUUGUGAACAUACUAGUAGUUGUAUUCUCUUAUUAGCUUCUGGUGUGUUGUUGCCUGUAUAUUUCAUUUCUGAGUUAGACAUCUUGUAAAACUUGUUUAUAUUUGAAAAGGACAAGAUUGGUGGAGUGGAUUUCUAUAUAUCUUUAAACUAGAGCACAAAUCAGAAUAAGCAUAAAAAAGUUAACCUAUAUUAUCCUUGUCCAACUGUUUAAUCUAUACUUUGAUAAUAUAUACUCUUUAAAUGAGGCAAGAAAAGAAGAAAAACCUCCCAGCCAUGAAUAAAUUUAUCAUAUUAUUGAAAAUGUUGAUUGUGCCUUAUCUUUUUUUUCAUGGUGUCUUAGAACUAAAAUUUUAUAUUGUUCUAAUUUUUCACUUUACACUCUCAUCAUCCCUUGCAUCUUUAGGUGAAGCUAAAGAACAUGCUGUACCAUACUGCCCGCAUAAAUUGCCUGGCCUGGUCUCCUGAUAGCCACUUGAUUGCCACUGGCUCACUGGACACUAGUGUUAUAGUCUAUGAGGUAGAUAAGCCUGCGUCCAGCCGGAUCACAAUUAAGGGGGCUCACUUGGGAGGGGUGUAUGGAUUAGCUUUCAUUGACGAAAACAGUUUGGUUAGUGCAGGAGAAGAUGCAUGCGUCCGUGUUUGGAAAUUAUUACCACAGUGACAAGGGUUGACCCAUGGAAAUUUAUGCCACUGGUGGCAGAGUGAUCAAGUUUUCUUGUGUUGCAGUUUGCUCAACCAUUAUGCAAUUGGCUUGUGCGUGUGUGUAAUCACUUUCCACAACAGUUACCAUUUUGGUGAAGCCGUCGCAGUGCCUGGUUGCAUCGGAACAUAAUAUUGCAGAAGACCGAUGAAUUUGAUUUAUGGAGUCAAAGUGCAGAAGCCUUUGAGAGAUGCAACUUUUGGUGGCGGCUUUUUUUGGGUUCGUUUCUAUUGUUUCCCUCCAAGUGAAAGCAAAGUAAGAUUACAAGAUGGGGACUGGUGAACCCAUAUAGGUGCAGUUGAGGUGUUGAAUUCAUGUUUGGACCAGCCAUCGUCAUUUCAAGUUGUGAUGGACAUGUUUGCCUGCGAAAAACUGGUUUGGGUGUGCAAUUUCAUCGUCUUUUGCUUGGGUUUAUGACCUCGAGAUGCAAAUGCUAAGAGAAUCUUGCUUGUGAUGCUGCAUUUUUUUUCUUCUAAUUUUUUGGCAAAUGAUGAAUAAUCCCCACUCUGACAGGUUCACAUCGUCUUCUCCCUCGAAGGUGGUACUCCCCAAUGCAAACAAACCUCGGACAUGGAAAUAAUGAAUUACGAAUCUUAAAGCAACGUUGUCCUAACCCUGGUGACAGGUGGUGCGACUCGUGGUCCGAGCAGCUGACGGUCGCGUGCCGAGAAGGGACUCGUAGAAGGAUUUGGGGCAUUUUUGUUAAAUUAAAGUAAGGGUUUUAAGGUAAAAGAAAAAAGAAAAAAAAAAGAACGUCCUCUCUGUUUCACGUGCUCGACACGUGAUCAGACAUCUUCUUGAACCUCCGAGAACAACCGCCGAUCGUGGUCGUAGCGUCGACGCCCAACCGAGUGGUCGUUCUACUCCUCGUCUUCUCCAAGCGGCGUUCUCCAGCCUGGUGCUUGAGAUGGAUCAAGAAGCCGCUCUCGAUCUCGUGAAGAAAGGGGCGACACUUCUUCUCCUCGACGUUCCUCAGUUCACUCUCUUCGGCAUCGACACCCAGGUCUCCUCUUCCUGUUCCCUAUUCUCAUUUCUUUCUCCCAAUUCCUCCUUUACGUUUCUUUUUUUCACGAACCCUAGAAAGAUCUCUUUCUCUUUUCUUCCAAGAAGCUUCUCUCCUUUCGACGCCUGGAUGUGCAUAUUCGCAUAAACUUCAUGACGAGAAGAAAUAAGAUAGCCUUUAGGGUUUCUGGAGUCAUGGAAAGCACUGAUACCCGCGUCUUGCGAAUAAACUUUAGCCGUAAACUGCAUUGUAUAAUGAUUUAUGUUAACAAGAAAUCCGAGUAUUUUACCAUGUGGUCUGCUGCCCUUUUGUUGUCAUGUAAUCUCCACUUGUUGGGGGUUUAGCACACAUAUCUCAAAGGCAUGAAAGAAGUUUCUAUCUGCUUGUACGUUACGUGUGGGAUGAUUGGCCCAAUAAGAUCAAUUUUGUGUUAUUUAAAAUUAACAUUUAUACACAACGAGUGCAUCUAUUUUAUUUGUUUGCAUUUACUUGUAGCACUCAGAUUCCUACCUUUAUUCUAAGAAAAUCAAUAAUGAAAUCAAAUAAAAAUUUCUCACGGAUAUUUUUAGUCACUAAAUAAUAAUAGUAAUCAUUAAAAUUUAAGAAAAAAAUUAAAUCCAACCAUAAUAGGUUUUAGAUCAUUAAUUAAGAUUCUAAUGAGUCCAAACCAUUCUUUUUUAUACAAAAUAAACACUUUAUAAUUGUCUAUGUCAACCAAGAUCCUAAAUUUAAUUCAUCAUGAGUUUUACUAACCUUUUAAAUGCAAAAUACUUGUUCAUUGAUGUCUGUGUCAACAAUUGGAAAUUUUACUUUGGUGUCCUUGCAAAACUUGAAAUUUAACCAGGCCAUAGGUGACAAAGUUAUUUGUGAAGCAAUUUCAUAUACAGAUUUCAUGGCUAAUGUGGCAAUUUAUCAAAUUUGACGGAUGUCUAAUAUCAUAAACAUGCCAACAACAAUAAUUAGUACUAAUGCAACUAAAAUGUGACGUCAAAAUGCAUGACAAAUUUAGCCUCUGUGUGUGUGUGUGUAUAUAUAUAUACACACAUAUAUAUAUACAUAUGUAUGUAUGUAUAUAUGUAUAUGCAUAUAUAUGUAUAUAUAAGUGUAUAUAUAAUGGAGAAGAGAAUUUGGAGUUUUGUAUGAUCAUCAUAUGCUCUUAGAUUAGAAAAAAAAUAUAAAACAAUUGUUUGAUCAACAAUACUCAAUGUAUCUGAGUAUUGGGAAAUUUAUUAAAAAUAUGUACAAAAAAAUAUUAGUUGAGAUGAGUUGAAGUGAAUGUAUGAAGUUACUUGGAAAUAUAGAUAACAAAAAUCUUCAUUUCAUUCAUAAACAAUUAGGCAUAGCUAAAUAAAUGAUAACAUUAGGAAGAAUAAGAUUAUUAAGAAUAUGUUUUAAAAAGACAUAUAGAUGUUGUGAUUAAACAAGGUUAGAAGAGAUAGAAGGAUAUUUCAAAAGAAUUGUUAGAAAGUAGAAACUAUACAAAACAAUCUGAAUGCUAUUGGCCUAACUAAAGGUAUUGUCUUGUAUAGAAUUCUAUGGCAGAAAAAGAUUCAUUGCCCACAAAUAGUUGGAACAUUACAGCAUAUUGUUGUUGUGUCGACAUAACUAUCUUUAAGCUUUGAUGUAAUUUCUUCCAGAUGUUUUCUGUGGGGCCGAUGUUUAAGGGUAUGAAGAUGAUCCCACCGGGCACACACUUCAUUUACUAUAGUCCCUCAAGCAAGUAAGAUGUGAUCUUCUAACAUCAUCUUCUUUUAUGUAUGUAUGAUUAACUUGAUAUGGAAGUUCUUUGCAAUGUGCAACUAUAAUGAUAAUAAUAUGGAAUAACUUUUCUCACUGUAUGUUGAAUUUGAGUUUGUUAAUUUGGUUGAUAUACGACAUAGUUUCAACAAUCAGAAUAACCUACCUAAGAAAUAUUUACAAGAAUUUUGCAAUUAUAUGUUGUCUUGUUGCUUUAGCUGAUUCCAAAAUCCAAACAAAAGGACAACUAUACCUCAAUGUCUGGAAUCAGGGAGUUGCCUUAAUAUAUUUUCAUAUUUCAAAAUUUCAAAUAUUAUAACAGCUCAUUCUGAUGGCAAGUUAUAUUGCUAUUUUUUGAAGUUUUUAAUGCCUAAGGACUGAUGAGAUGGUCUUUUAAGGAUAAAUUAAAACAAAUAGUGGAUUCAAGUGAAUAAUACAUGUAGUAAUUCUGUAAAUCUUAAUGGGUGAGAGACUGAAAAAUUUUGGAUUGCAAUUGUUGCAAUAAUUACUGAGUGCCACAUGGUUAAACUUGCUAUAGGGUUCUAUUAUUGUUGAAACACUGGACAUUCAGUCUACUGGCUUGUAUUCAUAGUGUUAGAAAUACCAAGUUUCUCUAUGUAAGGUUUUUAGAUGUUUGGUGAUUAGUCGAAGUCUCUGAUUGUCUGAGAACAAAGAGAUGAAGCACUAACAGACCAAUUAAGAUCAUGGCAGUGCAGUGCUGUGGGAAACAGGGGAAAUUUUUAUUUAAAAUCAAAUUAAUUUUGAAUUGAAACAAUAGUAUCAUUGUGAGUGCAAUUAUACGUGACCAUUGACCUUAAAUCAUAUAAUACAAGCAUUAUAUCAAUAACAAAGGCUCUUCUUCCAUGUAUGCAUACAUGCAGGUUUCGGAAUCUAGAACAUUGAAAGCCCUUUCUUUGGCAUCUUAUUACUGCCUUCGGUUGAGGUGAGACAUAACAGCGCUGGUUGCCACUUGCCACUGCUCUUUUCUUGAGGAUAGUCUUUGUAAUAUUAGACAUCCAUUCUGAUCUUGCAGUUUGCCAAAUCACAUUUGGACAUUCUAUUUUUGGUGUAUUCCAGCAAUUAGAAUAAUAUGAGUUUUUUGGUCUUACAAGAUGUCAAACCUUAGGUUGUGUGUCUUGUCCUAGUCCUUAGGUAGUUCUUCACUUGAAAGGAGUACUAAAACAAAAAACUAUACAACUCGCGUGGAUGACAAAUCAUCAUGUUGGCAGUACCAUAAAACAGAAACAAUUUGAACGACAUUGCAACAAUGUAAAAAAUAUUUGCCUUCUGUUCCUCUCCAACCUACAACCUUUUCUUUGGUCUCCUCUUCUCCUGGUUCACACAUUUCCACAUCUGCCAUGACAAAACCAUGGAGGCAUAAGGCAGGCAGGGUUUCUAUAUGGAUUCGAUACUUCAAAGACUUAAAUAAUGUGUUUAAGAGGUUAAAUUGAUUUGACUAGGGUCAGACUGUUUUGGAUCCAAUUCGGUAUAGUGUCUGGAUCAGUCAUUCAUAGUUCUGUGAUUACGAAUUGAGAUUGCCCCUCACUGAGCUCUUGGUUGAACCUUCAUUAAGCUUGGUGUAACAUACUUGACUUUCUGUGAAAGCUUAUGUAAUGUUUAUUCCUAGAGAUUGUUAUUUCAUGAUACAGAAGCAUGUUGAUAUGUUGUUCCAACUGUGCUGUGCUGGUUCUUUCCACUGUGCCAGCCAAAAUAGGCAAAAGUUGGUCGACUUUUGUAUUCACACAAUUCGACAUUCCAGUUGGCAUGGAAAGAUUGUUUGUCAUUAUAGCUUAAUUCUUGUAUCUGUGUUGUUGUUGUAGUUUUGGCAACUGUAUAGGUUAAACCAUAGUAUUUUGAUUCAACUGAUACUUAAGCUAGGUGUCUUACUGUCUUUACUGUGAUUGAUUCAGAGAGGGGAAUGAAUUUUCACCGACAGUUGGCUUCUUCCUUACGACCCAUCCUGCCGAGGUAUUCAUCUAUGUAAUAUUUCUUUAUGUUUGAUUGGUAUCUGUUGAUAUGACUUUGCAAAAUCAUACAUAGAUAUCUUUGUGAACUAGUAGGUAUAAAUCUAGAAUUUGAGAUCUUUCACCAAGGGUGAUAUUUAGUGAAUUUUUUAUUGCCUUUUGGAGUUUUUUUCUCGAAUGUGCCACUUUUCUUACCAGAUCAAGAAUAUCAAAAUGUUUUUUUGGAUAAAAUAUUGUGUUCACAUUUUGAUACUUGUAGCACAUGACAGUCUCAUAACGUGAAAUUCAUUUUUCAAGGUUACCAUUUUGGAUCUCUCACUGCAUUCCUGCAGCAUGUAUCAGACACACAAGGACUCUGUUAACUUGUUACAUAUCUUGUUUGUGUGUAUGCAUGCUGUAAUUUAUAUGCAUACACAAGAAUAACAUUGUUGACUUUGAGAAACCAAAUUACAACCUUGGUUAUCAUUGUGGCAAGUAAUAUUUUUUAAAUGGAAAAAGCGAUAUAGAUAGCAUUUAAAUCAUGUGGUUCUAUCAAUUAUUGAAUUGUUUUAGAAGUAUAGCUUUUGUGCUUGAUAGGAUUUAUAAGUUCUUAUUAUGCUUCGGACAGGUAGUUGUGCGCAAGUGGCAUCAUCAGGAGGAACGGCUGAUUAAAGUUUCAGAAGAUGAGGUAGCCAUUUAUGAUCACAAGUCUUAUAUGAUAGUUACAAAAAUUUAGAUAUCACUUAAUUGAUUGGAGUUUUAUAACUAAUUAAAAGUAUUAUAUAGGUGAAUUUGCUUGUAUUAUCUAAAAUGUGGUGUACUUAAGACUGAAAUUUUAAAAUGUGUGUUUGUGAGGUAUGGUAAUUCUGUCUUUGCUUAUGUUGAACAUAUAUGCUGUUCUGACCAUUCUGAUGCUGCAGUAAUUUGAUAGUUCAGUGUGUUGUAACAGUUAGAUGUCUGAAGUUUGGAACAUGUCUUGCGUAAUAUCUGUUAGCAGGAAGCUGGUUUAUGUACUAGUAUUUUGUGUAGUCCCAACAAUUUGAACUUACUGAAGUUUGUUGCCAUGGAUUCAUUCAGAUCUUUUGCCAAGUUGAUUUGGAACAUAUCUGUGAUAAUCUGUUGUGGCAGGAAAUAUUUGUCAACAUAUUACUGUUUUGCAAAGACCAACAAUGUGAACUUACUGAAAUUUUGGAUUGAUAAGCAGCUUUUACCAAGUCAAACUCUUCAUUCUUAUGCAAUGGUAGAAUUAGUGUAUUUACAAUGAAAUUUGAUAGUUGUCACUUAUAAUUUGACUUCUAUUUAGGAAGGCAGGUACUCUGAAGCAGUGAGACGUCUGGAAUUCGAUCCCCACCUUGGGCCUUAUGCUUUAGACAGGCAUGGAGAGUGGAAGCAGCUUUCUAAUUACAUUACACAGAACAUUAUUGAGAGAAUUGGUAAGUUUUACAAACUGUAUAUUAGCUGUGGAUGCUGUUGUUUUAUUGGCUUUAAUUGUGGAUAAUUAGGUUGGAAUGAGUUUGUUUAUAAUUCUUUUAUUUAAAUCCUCAUGAAUCAUGUAUAGUUUUCCUAUUUUUGUUGGUAAUGUCUAAUAUGUUACAAGGUGACAUAUCAUUUGCAAUCUCUUUUACAAAAACUUUCUUUGUGCCAACCUUCAUUUCUUUGCACAGAAAAUAAACUACUAGGUUUCACAUCCAUAUCAAAAUUAAAUUUUGUGCAAAGAAGAAUUUUUAUAUUAAUGGAAGCCAUGUACCAUUGCGUUUAAAAUUUUUGCACCAUGAAAGACUAUGUUCUAUGGAAUUUAGGCAGAUGUUGGAGAUAUCAAAUAUGCUUAUAGUUUUUUGACAUGCUAGAUGUUUUUAGUUUAUUGGUCUUAUAACUCAUCUUGAGUUUUAUUCUUGAAGUAUAGAUUUCCUGUACAAGUCUGGGUAGCUCAUGGAUGUGAUCUUCUUUGAUGCAUCUAUCUACUGCUUGUGAUACUUAGGGUGAAAACUAUUAUUUAGUCUAUUUACCAAUCCUGAACUUCCAAUAAGUGGCACUCUAUUCUAUUUUCUGUGAAAGGCACGUUACCUUCUUUGGUCUUUGUAUGGUGCAUUUGCGUUGGUAGGAUUUUCUUUCACUUGUCAUUGUCCUAGUUGGUUGUAACUCAUCGGUCAAUUUUAUCUCUGACCUCUACCUUGAUUGUAGCUAAAGAUUUUUAAUUAUUUGAUGUUAUUGUGCCAUAUGGUCUUUUAAGAAGCAUUCAGGGAUCUUUAUCCCAUUCUCUACUCUUUAUACUUCUUCAGUGGAAUUGCUGUAAUUGGACAAACUGGAAGAGAGUUGAUAAUUACCUUCAUGAUUUAUGUAUUGUUAUCAAACAAAAGAGGCUUGCUGGUGAUAACAUUAUUUGAAUGUUCAAUUUUCACACAAAAGGAAAGAUAUCCUUUCAGAAAGUUGUUUCUGAGUUGCUGUGCAUUCAAGUUCUUACAUUUUGUUAUUCCCUUUGCAUUCUGUUGUAUUCUAUCUCUCUUCUUUGUUUUGUUAUUUUUUAUUAGGCUUUUGGUUAUUCCCUGAAUUAUUUGUGCCUUUUGUCACUGCAAGAUUGCUUCAAUGUUUUUCUUGGAUAACCUUGAUAUCCAGAUAUUUUACAUAUUGAAUGGAUGAAUUAACAGAGCCCAUUGGUGGAGAUAUUAUGAUAGCCUACGAGUCUGGAUUGAUCGACAGGGUUCCUAUUUCUGUUAUGGAGAGACGUCUGAUGGAACAGCUAAAGGACAGUAAGUUUUCAAACUCUGAAGCAGAGGGAUCUCACAGGCGUGGAUGCUAUUACACAUCAAUUCCCCAUGCUGUUAAGCAUAAGGGCAUUUCUGGAGAGGAACUUACAGCAAUUAACCUUGACAAAGUAAUUAUCUUUGCAUUUACCCCAUUUGGUAAAGUAGAAGGAUUAAUAUAUUGCAUACUGGGCCUUAUAGAUCUUUAUAUCUACCUGAAUAAGCGAAAAACAAAUGUCAUAAUUGGAUUGUUUGGCAAGAAUUUGGUGAAAAGAGAAAAUGUAAUUUUGCUUAGGGUUGCUGAACUCAGUGUGUAAUGUCAAGAUUCUUGUGUUUGUGUUUUUUUGGUAAAUGGAUUUUCUUUAUUCAGUUCAAAAUGAUACUUCUAUGCAAGGUUUUCUUUGGAACUUCCAAUAUUUUAAUCCAUGAUUGUCCUAGGAAUGUGAGCUUGUCCGUUUGUGUUCAAACCAAAAUAGAUACCUUGAUACUGUAGAUCAUUGGAUCCUUGCCAUUUUGUAUCUUCAACAAAAAUAACGGGUCAAAGUUAAAUUACCGGCAUAAAGCUAAAACAUUUUCUCUGUUGAAUCGGUUUAAAAAGAAAGUUUAAAUUGAAAUGUCUGAUAGAAAGUGGGACAUUGGUUAACAUUCAAUAACUUUCGUGAUAAAGCUUUCCAACAUGAACUUAUUGAUUUAAACUUUGUAUCAGCACAAAAUUAGGAAAUUGAGAGUGUAUAGAUGGGUUGCAUUUUAGUUGUUUUGGUAUCAAAAUAGUGCUAAUAUUUAGGAGUGUUGCACAAUAUGAUGAUAUCUAUUUAGUGUGUAAACACCAUGAUUCUAAUUUUGCUCAAACUUAUAUUUUAUUACACCAAUGGUUCAGAAACAAUGGCAUUUGUGUAUGACACUUCAAUGUGAUACAAUAUUUGCCUGUUAAGAAGCCAUACAGCAGUUUAUGUUUAUAAUUUAAUCUAUCUUCUGGUGGCUUAUUUGCUACUUUAAUUUCUUUGAUUUUGUGGACUUAAAUCCUUCCUACAACCCAUGGAGUUGUUCCUUAGAUAUUAAAGUUUAUUUGAAUGUUAUCUAGCUGGGUUAAAGGCUUACUAAUGACAUUUUUAAUUUAGAUUGUGUACUAAAGGGUCACAUUACUAAAGAGUUUUUAUGCAUUGACUAAUGAGAUACAUUUUCCUUCAGACAAAAUUACUGGAAGCAAUCUUGAUGAAAGACUAUGGAGGCGAAGAAGAUUCACUUUUGGGGGAACUACAAUUUGCUUUUGUUGCAUUUAUGGUAUGUGUCUGGUGGCAUGUGUUUCCUGGUAAAUUUAUAGCCCUUGUAUUUUCAUUAAUUGUGGAUCUUGCAGAUGGGGCAAUCACUUGAAGCCUUUCUACAGUGGAAAUCAUUAAUUAGCCUUCUUUUAAGCUGUACAGAAGCUGUGAGUUCUGCAAUAUUCGUGUAUUAGUUAAACAGACACAAACAGCUCUUGCUUGCUUAAAUGAUUCUUUUGUUACUUUUCAUAAAAGAAAGGAGCUUAAAUAAUUUUGCUUUGCUUUUAUGAUUUUAUGAUUCUGUUUAGAUCUUUGUUUGACUGCCUAUCCUUUUUCCUGUCUUUAAAUGACUCACCUGUUUUGAUCUUUGUUCAAAAAAAUGACUGGUACUGUGCUGGUCCUCUACCAGUGUACUGAGUGCCAGUGUGCCAUUAUGUAUUGAGUUUCAAAAAAAGCUUAAAAAUAUUUAAAAAAAAAAACAGAUCGUGUACCUUCUUGUACCGGGAGGCACUGACCCUAUACUGGGUAGUUAUGGCAUGUACCACCUCUGUUUGGCGGUAUUACAAACCUUGGAUGAGAUAACAGAUGUUUUUUUUUUUUUGCAGUAACAAUUUUGUUUGUCUUGCAUGUGAUGUAAUUGUGUUGCUUGAGUGGAAUUAUGCUUAAACGGUGAUAUGACUUUGAUAUUCUUGUCUCUUUCUUGCAGCCACUUCGGACAAGGACUCAGCUAUUCUCCAAGGUAAUUUCAACAGACAUUGGUCAAUUAACUGUAUUUAAAAUAUCUACUCCUGAAUGACAAUCUAAGAACACUAUUUUGAAACAAAAGAUGAAAUAGUAAGUUAUUUCCUUCAUAUUGCAUAACAGUAUUCACAGGUAUCUUCGGUUGGAGAAUUUGGAUUAAGUCUAUGGUCUAUGAUUGUAGUACUAUUUUGGCUGCAGUCCUAAAUAUCUAAUUACUAGGACUAAAGGUCUACAUGAGUCUUGAGCAGCAGUUGGACAGCUAUAAAAAGUUUAUAUUGUUCAAUUUACUAGUAAAGAUAGGAAAAAAAAUAUUUUCAUUCAUUUCGAUAAAAAUAAAAUAAGAGAACUUCGUUUAAAAUGAUAUAAGAAGACUUAUAGAUGCGGUAGUAAGAAGAAAUGAAAUGAUUACGAUUAGUGGUAUGAGAAGUAUAUGAAAAUCUAAAAAUAUUUUAAUAGAAACUGUUAAUAAAAUUUAAAAUACUCUUAACUAAGGAUAUGACUCCUUACCUAUCGAAAGAUAAAUGUGUUAUUGUAAGGUCUACAUGCAACUGACAUUGAAAUAUCUCUUUAAAAGGUACAUAAAUGUGCUUUUUAAUAUAUUUGAAGGUUUUAUUGAUUAUUAAAAAAUUAUAAAUUGGAACUUCUUCUGUCACAUGAGAAUGAUAUUUUGCCCAUGCUUCCUGGUGCUUGUCCUGUGUCGUGUAUAUUGAGUUGUCAGCAUGUCUUUCUUGUCUGAUGGUAGAAUAAAAAAGGAACAUCUGGAGAGCCUUACUAUGAAAUCAUAUAUAUCCUCAUUAUGGAUGAGGAUAUAUAUGUAACAUAGCCAAAGGAGUAUCAACUAGGAUUUGUGUUGACUCUAGUUCAUCAUAUAGUUGCAAAAACUCUUAUUCAAGCUUUAGCUUUGGUAACAGUAUACUUUUCUGUGAUAUGGACACGAGUUUCUUUUCAAUAAUGUGUUGCUUGUAAUUACUAGCAGCGAAGAAUUUUCCUUUUUUUCCUCAUAUAUCUGAUUGCAAUAGCACCGCAUGCAGUUUAUCAGAGUCCUCUACUCCCAACUCAAGCAUGGCUUUCAUAAAAAACAAAAUCAUGGGAAUGAUUCAGGCAAAGGAAUAUCCCUUUUCUUGGAUGAUGUGUGGUUCUCAAAGGACAUCUUUUUGUUCCGUUUGUGCAAGGUAAUCUCUAUCAUUUGGUUAACUAUGUAUGGGCAUUAUUAGUGUAAUACCCUUAGCUUUCACGCCCCUAUUAACGUGUGGUCUAGAUCACUGUUUUGCCAAUAAAUCAAGAACUACUUGGCGUGUGAUAAGCAAAUGUGAGCCUUAGAAUGAGAUUAAUGAUCGAUCAAGAUUCUUGUCAAAGUGUGUUGUUUUUGUAUUUUAGCAUUAGUCAUCUUGCUUUUUUUUUUUUUCUAGUUGAACUUUUUCCAGAUGGAAUUUCAUAAAAAGGUUUGUCUAAAUUGGUUUAGUUCUUUUAGUGAGCGAUUUUUAAGUAUUAAUGGUCAGUGUCAUAGUUAUUGAUCAUGUUUGAAUUUUUCAGGAUUUCUUCCCAUUGGUGCUGGAGUCCCCAGUUGUUGAUGGUGACCUGCUGUUAUGGGUUUGAAUGUUAAAACCUUUUUAAAAUUUUCAUUCAGCAUCCUGUAAUCUUUAUUCUUGAAAAUUACUGCUUUUCUAAUUCUUAUAUAUAGAUUGUGUAUCACUUGGUAUAUUAGGGCAAACCAAAGUUCAGUGCUUUUUGUGAAUGACAGUGUAUGGUAUUUGUUUUCUAUGUGCAUUUUAUGAAUGACAGUGGGCAUGGAUUAUGAGAUUUUUUUUGGGUCUUCUUCUUUUCCUUUUAUCUAAAGACCUUCAUUAACAUGUUAACUGGUAAUGCUAUUUGCAGAUGAGAAAACUAAAGAGACUGCUGGAGAUUGCACUUGGGUGGGAUUUUGCAGAUGUGAUGGAAGUUAUCUGCAACGAAGGGGAUGAGGUUGAUAUUGUUAAUUACUAACUAAACAUGAUUUAGCUUUCUCUUCAAAGCUCUGGAAGUUGAUCUGUCUGUGCUGUCAUUUGCAGUUCUCUCCAGUAAUUGUACCUUCUGAAGAAGUGAAUUAACCUCCAAGCUGCCCAGUAAAAUUAAAUGGUGGAUCCAGUUGUGGUGGUGUUAACUUACGGAUUUCUUCUCCAUGAUUUGUUUUGGACAUGUUAUAUUAGCAUGGUGUUUGACUUAAGUCGGGAAAAGUUGGGCGCUUGCAAAGGUUGUUGUCCCAUAUGGCAGCCAUCUCAUAAUUCUGGCUUACCGCCACCAGUAUCGUUAACUGCCAACUUCUGAAAAAGAUUGUUGUCCCAUAUGAAUUCCAUAUUCUCAAAAAUUUUGUUCAGUGAGGCAAACAUUGUUUUGUCCAUUUCGGAUUUAGCAUCCACCAUGGUUUCCCUGGUGUUCUACAAUGUGGUUUCACGGCAAUCGCAUUUAACUUAGGUAAACAGGUCUUUGUGAUGUAACAAACUUUCAGAUCAAGAAGGUCGAUGAAGAUCGUUUGUAUUUCUUUUCAGAUAAGAAAAGUCAUGCUUCCAAAUCACAAUGAACUGCCGGUCUUUUUUUCGUGUGAUUGAAUCAAGAAGUUAGUGUAAAAAAUUCUGGAUGGUAUAAGUUAUUGAGUUUGCGGUGUUGAUGUUUUGCUAGGGAAGAGGGAAGUCUGCUUGGUUCAUCAUUAAUCUUUUUUUUUCUUAAUGCGAACAACAAACUAAUGGAAAUGUGACAGCCGCGUUCUUCCGUUCCAAUGCCAACCGACUCUUGAGAGAUGGGAAGGCACCUCGGACUCGGAAACUCUAUUCCUAUGACCUCUAAGCGGCUCCAUACGUUGGGUCAGCAGUCAUUCUCUGUUGAGCUUUGGUGAGAUAUAUAUAUAUAUAUAUAUAUAUAUAUUCUUAAAAAAAUUGCCUAUAUAUUCUGAAAAUAAUGUGCACCGCCAUUCUUAAAGCCAUCCGCGUGGCAGGGCACGAGAGCCAAUAUGUAUCGGACCUCCCCCUUCAGAAACUGUGAUGGCGCGGCUGUUGGCUCGUCUACGUUUCGUUCGAUUUCCAUUGUCGCAUAGGUUACCGCUGCUUCCGGUUCUUUUUUGCCCUGCUUACGGUCGUCUAGUCGUCUUUCCUUAACUCGCUUUCUUUGGGUCUCGAUUCCAGGCCUGAAUUUUCGCCCGGUCUAGCAAGCGUGCACCGUGGCGGAAGAACCAGUGCAGGACAUCUUAAUCCUAUCCUACAAGGUCCGUUCUCUCCUCUUGUUGUCAUGAAGCAUUUAUGAUCGGAGUUUUACGUGCGAUGAUCGAUGCUUCCUAUUCCAAGAAACUACCUUUUGAUUGGCUUAAACCUAAAAUAGUUGGAAGUCUUUUUGGCAUCAUUCGUUUCUACCCAUGACAACUUUGUGUUCGAUGAUAUGCCUCUGUGUCCUCCACACAGAGUGACGACAGCAAAGGUAUGGAAUAUAAAUCCUUCGAGAGAAAAAAAGGAUCGUCAAACUUCAUGAGAUAUCGAUGAUUGGUUUAGCCUCAUCUCAGACUGCAAUCUUAUAAAAGUUGAAUGAACUGAACAACAGUAGUAGUGGUUUGGAAUUAGAAACUGGGGGAUUCCAAUAUGUUUUCUUGGUUUAGCUAUCCAGGCAGUCAUGAUCAAGAAGAGUUUACCGACUUCUUUUUAGUUUUCUACUGCUUGUUUAUGUGAAAUUAGUUCUCUUGAAAGUGGUAACUGCUUCAAGCUCAAUGUUAUUUUAGAGGAAAUUUCACUCGUUGAGAACGUAUCACACUGUGAGAUGUCAUUCCUUCUAUGUGUUAUUUUGUGUUUUUAUUAAGCCUUAUUCUUAUUGGUUCUCCAGUAUCACGAUCCUACGCUCGUGAGCGAACACAUUAUAACUUGUUCGGUAAUAGAAGGCCUGGCGAUGAAGAAUUCAGAAAAGCUUGGGCAGAAGAGAUGGAUGAGGAUGACUGUUUAUGGACUGCGAGCGAGGAUGAUGAAGAAGAUAAUGAGAAGGACAGCAGAAAUUUGGAAAGGGCAAUUAAGAAGAUAAGGAAGCAGGCAAAGGAGAACUCGGACCUCAUCGAUGGUGAUGAGAGCGAUGAGCUGAGAAGUUUGUGUUCGGAAAGUGAUGAAGAGGUUGCCCUGUGGAGUGGCAGUGAGGAUGACGACGAUGAUGAUAUUCCUACUGAGUCACACUCGAAUGAACGUAGUGAUAAACACAUAGACAAAUUGUUUGAGUUUGAGGAGACACCCAAGUACAGGACCAUUUCAGAGCUGUUGAAAGCCGAAAAGGACCCCCCAGAGUUGUCCCCAGGAAAGCAAGCGAGAAAGCUUGCUGUGGAAAAUGCACUGAAGAAGUUAAAGAAAGGGCCAGACGGGCGGUACAUAAAUGUCUGGGAGGUGAUGAGUGACAUCGAUAUCCUGAUUGGAGCUUUCGAAAACAUCGUUUCAGGGCCAGAGUAUGCAGAGCUUCGAGAAGGCGGGCCUAAGAAGCUAAAUAUGCAAUUCUUCAAGGAUAUACAAGCGCGCAUGAGAGAUCCAAAUUUCAAAUUUUCGCCUGAGUUGAAACUAAAGCCAAAAAGCAAAUUUGUCCCUCGAAAGAAGUGGCAAAAAGCUCAAUCGAGGAGGAGGAAAAACGAAAGACGUUAACAGGAGGUAAUUCUCUAUUUAUUUUGAUCAAGGAGUGGAGGGAACUUUCAGGCAUGAUUUCUGCUCAUGAGAGGAAAGAACACUAUAUGCAUGAAUUGAGAAGGCUAACACUUUUACAAGUCUUUCUCCUUUCUUUGGCAACAUGUCAGUGUAGAAUGCCAUGUAAAAUUUCAAUGGACAAACAUAUGUGCAUUAAUGGUUGAUCGAAUGAUCUCCUGUUACUUUAUUUCUAUUAAUAUUUCAUGCAUUAAUUAGUAUAAAAUAUGGAACUAGGAUCAUCAAAAGACAAAAAAAUAUCAAUGUCUUUGUCUUCGAAGUCUCUCUACGGCGAUUGUUCGAAAUGUGGUCCAUGGUGGUGUCAUGACAAUUUUGUAGUGUCUCUGUGACCAUGUGUUGCGGAAAGGGUAGAUCGGAUUUGAUCUUCAAAUUCACAUUACAUAAGCACUUAUUGCAAUCGAUGACUUAAUUGUGUGUUCGAAUUCCAACCGCAAGAGAAUAGAAAUUGCCGUGAGAUGGAAAUGAAUCGGAAGGAAAACCAUCACCAAGCCCAUUUACCGCCGGAUCAUCCAAGAAGAACAAGCAUCCCGUUGACGCAGCUUGACACUACGAAGAAAAUGCGUAAAGGAACUACUCAAUUCUUCCAAGAAGAUACCAAAGCCAAGGAUGAACUUACGAGAAUCAAAUCGAGCCGAGCAGAGGAGAAAUCGCAGAGAAUAAUAAUACUCACCAAUAACCCAAGGAUGAUCGUGUAAGAAUCGGAUCGAGCAAAGGCGCGGGGAUCGCAGACGAUACUCGCCAGAACCAUCUCUAUUCGCUCAUUUCCAUUUUCGAAGACGAUAAGCUAUGCGUCGUGCCAUUUAAAUCCGUCACGACCUUCCUGAUAAUAGUGUGACCAUCGAAUGUGAGGUUACCGCAUACACAACAGUUGAUACAAAUGCUCAAAAAAUAUUUUUUGACGUCUAAAUCCUUCGAAUUUCGACUUCUUAGUCUCACCUCCGGUGAAAAGAAUUAAAACCGCCAUGGGCCUUAUUUAUUACACAUAAUCACUUACUUUAAUCAUAAAUAUUUAUAUUUAUGAUUAAUGUGUUAUUAUUAUAUAUAUAUAUAUAUAUAUAUCAUGAUUAUGACAUUAUAAUUAAACUGUGGUAUUAUCUUUGUUUUAGUACUAAUGAACUUAAUGACACUUAAAGAAAUAAUCUGAUUACAAUAAACAAAAAGUAAAAAAAGAAAGGUAUAACAACACAAAAAGCAUAUUUCAGUAUACAUAUAAUAGAUUCUCUCAGUUUAAUUCCGAGCUGAUUCCUAAUUUUAUGGAAUAAGAGACUUAAAAUCAUUUUUUUGCUUGACUUAUUCACAUGUUCCUUCGGUACACAAUUUAACUUUGGAAUCCUUUUUGAGUUCGCACACUCGAGAUCAACAAUGACUUCAUCUAAUGGCUGACAUCUUAUUAUUGCUUACAGUAAUCGUAGAAUUUGCACACUAGAAAUUGUGUUUUGAAGAGCCUCUCGGAAUCACAACUUUCCAGAGUGCUUUCUUUCUCCGAGGGUGGCUCAUCUCAAGUCCACACUGCCACAUCCAUGCAAUUGUUUUGACUAAUUACACAAAAUGCAAUACAAGGCAAAGGAUUCCAGAGUCACACACCAUACCAUACACGUAUACAACUCAUGAGACUACAUGUAUUAAAAGAAAGAAGUUAUAUUAUUGGGUUUUGAUGACAUGCUGGCCUCUAAAAUGCAUUGUAUCGCCGUAGCUAGUUGAAUAAUAUACAGGAAAAUUUUAAAGCCAGACCAGCAUCAAAACAAUGAACCACCCACCACCUCCGUAUCAAAAUCCAUCCUACCAAUGCUAGUUCCCUGCGUGGGGAAAUGGCUGAAUGGCACGCCACUGAGGUUCUAGGAACUAAUCGUGGCAUUCUCGUGGCUUUUGCAUGACCUUGAAUCAGACUUCCAUUUGUCUAAAAGAUCCUUCAUCACCUGAGCAAACUUCUCAGCUUGUGGACCAGGUCUCAUGAUGUUGGCAUUGCUCCAAUGGGAACAUGGAUCUGUCCACCAUCUCUUGCGCCCGGAGCACCAAGCCCCAGGAACAGCCUGAUGGUGCCGACGUCCGAGUACCUUGUCAUCGAUUUUGUUGAGCACUGGGUCAUCCUGAUGGAACUGCCUUGCAAAAGGCAUUCCACUUUCCAUCAUCCUGUCAAAAUCUGUCAUGUUCAGGAAAUGAGGCUCCAUCUUUGGAGGAUUAUCCCACACCAUGUACCUCAGGUUGCUGUUUAUGGUUGUGUUCUGGAAAUCAGGGGAAUUGCACAUGACUGAAUGGAAAUAGCCUUCCUGGGACAGUAUUACAUUCGUGAAGUACAAAAGUAAUGUUCGGGGAAGAUUGUCCCAACCUAAAACACUGUACUCUAUGAAAGAUCUGCUCAGAAUAACCCAUGGCGAACCUGCACGUGGCUAAAUAAGAAUGGGCUUUAUCAUCUAAAACACAAACAAAAGAUUCUUUACCUGUGAAGAAUUUGAAGGACUCAGGAGUGUCCCGCUUCUGUGAAGCUUGGAAGAAUUGUUUCCUAUUUGCCAAAUAGAUGCCUGCAUCGACUAUAAUAGGCUGCACCCUUUGAUAUCUGCAAGGACACAAUAGGAGAACUUCAGAGGAGCUGAAGAAACAAAUCUCACAAAUCAUGAAACUUAAAUGGCAUGUACCCACUCUUUCCAUCCAAGGUCACUGGUAUGAUCCACAAAGUUAAAGUCCCUAGGCACAGACGAGAAAACAUGAAUCAUAUCUGAAACAAAGACAAGACAAAUAUUUAAUAAGUUAAAAGUCCCUCUGGGGAGAGUUAAAAACAUUGUAGAGCUUUUUAUACUCUCUACAACACCAAAAUAUUUCACAUCUUUCAAAAUACAAUUCAAAAGAAAAGAAUACUCGGAAACAAUUAACAACUAAGGGAUUCAAGUCGAGAAAACAAGAUGAGGAUGAUCAACCAUAUAAACAAACAAAAUAUGAGCAAAAUUCCCUAUUGAUUUUUAGUACGAAAAAUAUGAAUAAGAUGAGCAUGAACCCCUGCAUGAUUUUUGGCCUUUUACAACUUAUCAAGUCUUCAACAUGUUUAGUUUAUUAAAAUACCAUGAGACAAUAAAACAACCCAUUAAUUUAUCUCUGUGCAUAUUUGUACAUCUGUUAAAGCAAAAUAAUAGGUUCUUUCUUUGGCAAAGGAAAUCCUCUGUUCCUAGAUCAGAAACUACUUCAUUUUCCAACAAAGCUUCAGUGAAGGCAGGCACUAAAAGAGAGCAUGAUUACUUAUGUCAGAGCACCAUGAUGUUUGCUCCCAAUCUGAUCUAAACCAUUUAAUAAUUACGGUAUAUCCAAAUCCACAUGAGACAAAUGUUUAGAUUGGUUUACAAAGUGCAGCCACAGGUUAUCUUCACAAAAAAAAAAAGCGUGCUUCCAUGUCUUCAAAUUGAUGUUCCGGUGGCAUAUCAAAGUGAGAGAAACAAGAGUUCCAGUGUUUCAGAUAGGACUUACAGGCAAUACUUCUCCAGUUAAAAGUUAAAAGAAGCAUAUAUUUCAUGCUAAUUUCAGGUAGACAUAGCAAAUCUGGAACGGUCACAAUCGGCCUUUGUUAUCACUCUAGUGCAAGAACCAACAAGAACAAAUCGAAACAACAAAACAAUAAUUUUUAACAUAUUUAAGGGUAAAAAAAAAAUCCCAACCCUCCCAAUCUACAUUUGGUUUAAUGAGGAAAAGAUUCUUAAUUUAUUAUUGCUUAAAAUUCAGAAAAUUUCCUUUUUCCCAUUUUCUUUACCCCAAGACGGAACACUAAUUACCACUAAGAUCCAAAAGAAAAAUCUUAAUGAAACAGGAUCACAUACCGUCUUGCGUGACCAGCGGAUAAUCCGCUGCAUUCAAGGUCACAAACCAAUCCCAGCUACCAUCGAGGCGGAGGAGCACCGACGCAGCAUGCAACCUCGCAGCCAGCUCGGACGACCCCAUCGGGGUCAUGGGGCUGGCCUUGCCCACCACGUCCACGUUCUCGAACGCUCUUACGGCGGGCAUCGAGAGCCGGACGCGGAUCGCCAGAUCCGCGCGCUCCGAGUUAGGGGCAUCGGCAGAAAUGUGGAGAAGGUAGCGGUUCCUGGGGUGGUACACGGCGAGGAGGAGGCGGAUCAUCCGAGAGGCGUCGCCGCGACCGCCGGAAAUGUAGUACGCGAAGGCCGGCGGGUGGGCUGCGCCGCGGUGAACAUCGGCGGCGUCCGGCUGGCCAGCGAAGAAGGCUGAGGAGGCGAUGAAGCCGGAGAUGGCGGAGAGGACGAGGAGGACUGCAACGAACGAGACGGAGACGAGGGGGAAGAGCCAUCUCCCGCCCGCCAUGACCCGAGGCGCAUGGAGUUUAGGGCUACGGUUAGGCUCGACGCCGGGGAUCAAGGGGGCACCGCACCUAAGCUAGUAUCACGGCUUUGCUCGAUCUCAGAACCACGGGAUUAGGGUCUGCGGUGGACGACUCGAUCUCGAGGCGGACGGACGGAGAGAAGAAAGGAAGACAGGAAAGGAAAGAGAGCUCCGACGACCCAACGAUUAAAGAGGCAACGGGGGAAACCGAUUCCCGAAGCGGUUCCUUAUGUGCUGCUUGCGACCAUGGAAUGCUAUUUAAAUGCUCUUCUUUCAGAGCUCCGUAUGCUUAGUGAAUGGGCUUAUUGCAUUGCCUAUUUAAAGUAUGGCAUCAAUUAUUUUGGAAUAUUUUAGUUGUCGUCAUAAUUUUUUACUCUUUAGAAAUAAAAAUAAUAAUAAUUAUUACAGUUUACUAAAUGAAAAAAAUUAAUUGAAUAGAUGAUAAGGUUAAUGGCAAGUUGUGAUUUGUUUGUGAAUUCGUGCUUCACCAAAUUAGAUUAGGAUAGCAAGUUAAUGCUGGUUAUGGAUUAUUAUCUUGCACGUGCAAUUCACGCGAGUUGGUGGGUCGGCACACCAACCGUGGAAAUAUCUUACUGCACGGACUAUAAGGACGUUAAUGUCAUUUGAGCAGUCAACUCACUGUCAAUCAAAGUCGCGAAAGUAAAAUAUAGAGGUAUAAAUAAAUAUGAAUAUUACAAACAUUGUGGGCCCGGCCCAGAAACAAAAGUUGGACUGACCUUGCGACGGCCCAAAGCUGUCGCCUGCGAUUAGCUAUCCUUCGGCGUUUGUGUGGACCAGCAGCUCGAUGCCUGUCCUCUCCCUCGAUUCCGAACGCACAGGGGAAGUGAGAGCAGAGGGUAAGGAAAAGAAGAGAUGGUGGUAGGAUUCGACGGCAGGGGGCUGGGCCGCAUACUCGCGGCGCUGGCGGCGGCGUUCUUCUUCCGGGCUAUAUCCGGUGCCGGACCCGCCCUCCCGCCGUCAGGGGAGGAGGAGGAUGACGAGGGGCAGCAGCCGGCCGGCGACGAGGAGGCUCCGGUCUCCGCCGAGGUCCUUCCGGUCACCAUCCGGUGGAGCGGCAUCACCUGCACUCUCUCCGAUAAGCGUGGCAGACGGGUAAGCAUAUAUGGACCGUGGAAACCUUCCCCGGACCCUUAUCUUGUCACACGUGUGCGUAUGCUAGCAGCCGCUUCUCUCCCUGCUAUAUGCUUCUGGAGAGGCGCUUGACGACCCCCACUUGUUUGCGUCUGUCCCUUUGUUAGGUGAACUCAGCAUUUAAAGCUUUGGAUUUAAUUCCUUAGGUUCUGAAAUGAUCGAAUAUAGUUGCAUCAGUGUUUGCUGGGCAAUCAAUUUGAAAAGCAUUUGGAAAGAAUCGAAUUGUUUGCUAAAUGUAUAUUGGUUCGAAUCAUGUACAUUUUUUUUCUGUGUUUUCAUCUUCUUUUUGUUACUAGACAAGGUUUCUGCUAUCAAAUGUGUGUGGGGAGGCGAAACCCGGAAGAUUGCUUGCAAUCAUGGGCCCGUCAGGUUCGGGGAAGACCACUUUGCUUAAUGUACUGGCAGGGCAGCUCAUGGCUUCUUCCCGGUUGCACUUAUCGGGACACUUGGAUAUUAACGGAUUACCAAUGCCAAGCGAAGGUUAUAAGUAAGUCGGUUCGGACAUUGUUUGAUCUAGGUUUUUCAAGGAUUGUUAGCGUGCCACCGCCACCGUACUGCAUUGCCACUCUGGAGAGUGAAUUGGUCAUGUUUUUUCACCAGUUAGGAUCUUUAUAUUGCAGGGUUGCCUAUUUGAGGCAGGAGGACCUUUUCUUCUCACAACUUACAGUACGAGAAACGCUGUUACUGGCUGCUGAACUUCAGCUUCCUCAGACAUGGUUAGCAGAGAAGAAGGAUAAGUAUGUCAGCAGCAUCUUGUUCCGAUUGGGCUUGGUAAGCAUCUGAAGAUGACUAUACUAAAAUGGAAGUAUGAUACCAAUAAGAGUUUUGAUAGCAGUAUUUUCAGUAAACUCCACAUCAAAUGAAGCUAGAAAUCGAGACAAUCUUUUCUCUGGUGAACUCUUCCCUGAAGAAUAAUCUAAAAAGUUCCCCAGUUUUGUUGUCUAUGCUACGUCUGCAAAUGCACAUAGCAACACCUAUACAUAAGAUUUAUUUUCCCUUUCAUUUAAAAGUUCAUCUAGUCUAACUAGUUAGUCCAACUUAUGUUUUGAAUUAUUUUUCAUCCAAAAGCUAACAGUAAUUAUCACAUGUAACAUGCAUAGGAUAGAUAUUUCUACCGACAAUUGGUACCUAACUUUCUCUCUCUCUCUCUCUCUCUCUCUCUCUCUCUCUCCAUUUUAUGACUGCAAUUUAUAAAUUAUACUUAUUUGCUUUCUCCCUGUUGGUGAUAUAACAUUUUGCUAAAAAAGGUCAAUUGUGCUGAUUCUAUCGUUGGUGAUGCCAAAGUCCGUGGAAUCAGUGGUGGUGAAAAGAAGCGCCUUGCACUUGCUUGCGAACUGAUUGCUAGUCCAUCUGUCAUAUUUGCAGAUGAACCAACAACUGGUAUCAUUGUCAUAUCAUCAUAUGUUAUUUCUAUUUCCAAUUUAAUCGGAAUUGUUCUUUUCCUGAAUGUUCACUACAUGUGAUAUAAUAGUCAGCUGUCAGCCACAUACACAUAUACCACUGCAAACAUUUGAUUUUGUGGUUGAUUAAGAAAAACUCUUUUGAUUAGAAAGUAGACAAUGAAACUAACAACUACUUUAAAGAGUAUACUACAUAUUUUACUGCAUUCGUACCUUCUAAUUCAGACAAAUUCAUUGAUAUAGUUUUCAGGAGGACAGAUACUGCAUCUUAACUGGACUUGGGAGAAGGGAAGAUGCACUUAACUGUUGAAGGAACAAUUUGUUUAAAAAGAAAUAAUCAUAUUAACUGGCCGCAUGCAUUUUUCUGAAUAGUUCACUAUACUGUGUAACAUAAUAGCCGGUCAUAUACAUUUACUACUUUGGAUAGUAGAUCAAGAAAGAAGUACUUUUUGAGUAGGCGGUAGACCACGAAGUGACCACUCUGCUUUAAGAAGUGUAUAAUUUUUAAUUAUUCCUCACCUAUAAUUUUAAGCAAAUUUAAUUAACAAAUACAGAUUCUGUCCUUAAUUGGAUUGGGGAAAGGUGAGCACUAUUAGAUUGUCGGAGAGAAAUUUUGUUUAAAAAGAAAAGAAACAGAUUUUUUAAAGAUGAAUGAUAGAGAUUAUUGUUUUACUAUGACUUGAUUCUUAUACAUGUUGAUAGUGAGUGGUCUGUGUUACAUGCAGGUCUUGAUGCAUUCCAGGCAGAGAAGGUUAUGGAAACACUUCGACAGCUUGCAGAGGAUGGCCAUACUGUUAUUUGCUCAAUACACCAACCAAGAGGCUCGGUUUAUAGCAAAUUCGAUGACAUUGUGUUGUUAUCAGAGGGGGCACUUGUAUACAUGGGUCCGGCGAAGGAUGAACCAUUGACAUACUUUGCUAAAUUCGGGUUAUUACUCAGUUAUCUGGCUCAUAUAUGCUAUUCUUAGAAGUUGAUUAUGUUUUUUGAAGUUUCAUGUUACCCUUCAAUGCAAAUAACAAAUUAUCAUUGUGUCAAUAGUGGAACAGAAUAAUAAUAGAAUUCCCAUAUUCUAUUAACAGAAUAUAGUAGACCAGAAUGAUAAUAGAACAAAAUGUUAACAAACUAUCGAUGCAAGUUUCAAGUUAAUAGAAUUCCCAUUUUCUAUUAACUUGAGAUACACAAAAUUGGAGGUAUGGUGGAACAGAAUGAUGGACAGGAGUAUGUAGCAUGCCAAUGCAUGUAGCAUGCCAAUGCAAAUAAUAAACUAUCAUUGUGUCAAGAGUAAAACAGCCAUGGAAUGGUUUAUUGUUUGUAUCAGAAACUUUUUGGUGACUGAUACCAGUGGGAUUCUUUUACACUGAUGUCUAGUUUCUUGCUAUACUGACUUGUCAAGUUAUUGCGAUUCUUGAGUUACCUGAUGCCUCUUUGGCAGGUACCAAUGUCCUGAUCAUGUGAACCCUGCUGAAUUUCUGGCUGAUCUGAUUUCAGUUGAUUAUAGUUCAGCUGAAAGUGUGCAUUCAUCUCAGCAAAGAAUUGAUGAUCUGAUUGAAGUUUUCUCAAAAAGCAGUUUCAUGAUUCAGUGCACAAUUCCAAUUAUGCAGUUGGAUGACUCCAAGGUUUCCGCAAAAUUUGGCAAGAAAACCAUGGUAAAGAGGAGAAGUGGUUGGUGGAGGCAGUUCCGGUUGCUCCUUAAGCGAGCAUGGAUGCAGGUUUGUCAUCUAUUACCUUUUCUCUUAAUUCCUUUUGUCGGGCUUUAAAAAAAGGGUUGGAGAGAGGUGUUCUGCUGCUUAGAUGUCCUUAAUUUUAAUGAAAAAUUUAUAUCUUGUCAAAAGUGUGACAUCAGGAGAUUCAGAGUGUUGGGUCCAUAAUCUUGAAAAAUUCCCAAAAAUCCCAUAUCCAGCUGAUAUUAACUUGAAUAUAUUUUAGCUAAUUUAAAACAAGAUGACAUCUCACUGACACUAUCAGAUUCUAUGUCAUUUGGUUCUUAAUUUAUUGACCCCCCAUAUGGGUGAAGAGACCAGAGAAUUUUUAUAACUCUUUCCUUUUAAAUAGGAAAAUUAUCAUUAAUCACUGUGUCGAUAGUCACUGUUCAUAUUUGCUUUGAAAAUAUUCAGAGGUUGUUAUUGUGCUCAGGCUUCUCGUGAUGGUCCAACAAACAAAGUUAGGGCAAGAAUGUCAAUUGCAUCAGCUAUCAUAUUUGGAUCUGUUUUUUGGCGAAUGGGAAGAACUCAAACAUCAAUACAAGAUAGGAUGGGACUUCUUCAAGUAUGCAUCACCCUCUGUUUUCUCGUGUCUUUAGUGCAUUUAAUUGUUUGCAAACUAGCUAUUUAGCUGAUUAGAUCUGGUUGACAUUCAUGCUUGGUGGCUUGCAAUCUCUUAAUUGAUUCUUGUGUUAUUAACUAUAAUUCUUUAUUUGUUUAGCAUGUGGAAGUGAGAUGUGUAAACCUUUUAUUGUCUGAAUUAACUAAAGCUGCACAUAUGCUUUUCAUGUGUACUAAAAACAAAGGGGGUUGAGUUUUCUAUGGGGUAUCCUCAGCGUAUGGGACAGAACUGGAAUGAAGAACUCCUAGAUCCACGUUGCAAACUCCUAAAAUAUGGGGCCUCUAAAAUAUUUUUUGGCAAAUGAAAUGUGAGCUUCUGUGAUUAAUCGAUGGGAGUAUAUCAUAUGAAGUGUUUGGUGAAAACAGAGUAAAUAUCAUCUGCAAGAUAUCUUUCCUUGCACAAUGCAAGGGUUUCAUUAUCAUGCUGCUGUUGAGAAAAUGUCUAAAAGGCAUUUGAAUGCAUGAAAUGUGGAUGUUCUUAAAUGCCAGCUAAUUUUCUUUUGAGAAGGUUAAACUUCUUGGCACAUAGAAAUCUUUGUUUUCUUCCCAUAUUGGGAUAUUUAUGAACAUAGAUCAAUCAUAAUGGUAGAUCAAUCAUAACGGAGCCACAUUCACCAAGAUAAUGAGCACUAGAUAAAUAGAUUUUUUUUUCUUUCAUUAUUUGCUUGUGUAAAUUUCAUUUUUCAAAAUAGAGGUGUGCACGUGUAUUCUCUCUCCAUGGCAGGAUUUUUCAAGUAGUUUUGCAUUCCAAACUCAGUUGUGCACACAUGACGUAUCACCGCCAGAAAGUACUUGCAAUGUGCAUCAUUGGAGUUUCUGUCUUGAUGAUUAUAUUAAAAAAAACAAGAGUGCUAGUAUAAUUAAACACAUAGUUGAUUCAGAUCUUUGUUUUUGUUGGCUAAAGGUGGCUGCAAUUAACACAGCAAUGGCAGCUCUAACUAAAACAGUAGGUGUAUUUCCAAAGGAGCGUGCCAUUGUUGAUCGAGAACGUGCCAAAGAUUCCUAUGCAUUGGGUCCUUAUCUUUUGUCCAAAUUGCUAGCUGAAAUCCCAAUAGGAGCAGCAUUCCCCUUGAUGUUUGGAACAAUUUUAUAUCCAAUGGCUCGUCUCCAUCCUACUCUUACCAGGUCAGUUUUAGAUGUUUAUUCCUUAUAUAUUAUUGUAAUUAUACAGUAGUGUUUUUUCAUGCGUGGUUGAUAUCUACAUGUACACAUUAGGUUCUAUUUUCCAAGUGGCAAGCAUAUGCUAUUGUUUUUUGUUGAUUCUCACAGUAGCAAAUUACUAACCAUUUUUCCUCAUUUACUUCAUCCAUGUAUCAUGCUAGCAAUUUAUAGUAUUCAGCUUAUCUCGCUUCGACAAACCAAGGCCAUAGUCAUUUCAUAAGAGUGUCACAGUUUUAAUAUAGUAUUAGUUGUUUUUGUGUAUACCUGACACACAACUCUUGAAGCAGGUUUGCAAGGUUUUGUGGCAUUGUGACGAUGGAGUCCUUUGCUGCUUCUGCAAUGGGUCUGACAGUUGGGGCUAUGGUUCCUUCAACUGAAGCAGCAAUGGCUGUGGGCCCAUCCCUGAUGACUGUGUUCAUUGUUUUUGGUGGUUAUUAUGUUAAUGCUGAGAAUACACCUCUGGUCUUUCGUUGGAUCCCUCGAGUCUCUCUGAUAAGAUGGUAUGCCUAUUCUGUGACACUAUUCAUCAGACCAUCGGUGACGCAAGACACUUUUUUUUUCUUUCCUCUGAUAAGAUGGUACUAAUUAUUCUGUGACAUCAUGAAUUGGAUCGGUUAGUGACAACCAUAUUCGUUUUUCCAUUCUCAGGGCCUUCCAGGGGCUUUGCAUUAACGAAUUCAGUGGCCUUCAAUUUGAGCAACAACAUUCGUAUGAUAUCCAAACUGGAGAACAGGUAUGAGGGGAAUUCGAAAGUAUCUAUCACAGAACAUCAUCUCCAGGAUAAAGGCAGAAUUAACCUGUAGAAAGGAAAAACAAAAAGAUGAAGUCAAUUUACUGAUAGACUUGCCAAGUAAAUGAAUAUAGAUUUUAAUAAAUCAUAUAAUUAUAGAAAACUGGUGCAGCAUUUUAGUGUUCUCAGAGGAUAUUGCUUUGAUCUGUAAGUUUGAGCAUUAUCUUUUAGUUGCAUUUUCAUCUCAGACAUGCUAUUUUCCAUUAAUUCAGUAUUGGGAAUCAAGACAUUAUCAUUUUCUCAACUAAGAUGAUCGGUUUAGGUUGCAGCAUCACUAAUAGCCCAUAUUAACUGGAUGCAAUGUGUGUAUCCCUGGUGCAGCAUAUCUAUGAUCACUUGUUAGAUAGAAACAGAAGACAAAUGUCAAGUGCUCAACGUGCGAGUUACUAAUAGCGUAAAAUGGCUCAUCUUUAAAAUGAUGUCCAUUGAACAUACUAGUAUUUAGUUUUUGCAUGGUGACUGUUCUGAGGAUUUCAAUUAAUACCUUCCGUUCUAUGGCAUGGCAGGCUUUGGAGAGGCUUUCCUUUGGAGGCAGUCGAGUGAGGGAUACCAUUGUUGCGCAGGCCAGAAUACUGAUGUUCUGGUACUGGACCACUUACUUUCUGCUUAAGAAGAACAAACCAAAAUAUCAACAGCUUGUAUCCCCCGAUUCGUCGCAUCAACAACAGGUAUAGAUAGGUCAGUGCGAUCAGGAAUCGCAACAAGUACUUACAACUUGGUCUAAUGUUAGUGGAUUUGGUUCUACCAAAUUCUUUUCCUGCUGAAUUCCCCUAGUAUCAGAAACUCUGAAACUCUCUGUGAGCAGUAGGCUUUUCUUUUUUCUUGCCUGACUUCAGAAUCUGGCAUGGGUAGUAAUUGUUGUAUCAAGUUCUUUAAGCAAAUGCAUGUGGAAGCAAGUGAGUCAAUAUUUCCACAUCAAGUACUGAUUCUUUUACCUACAUCCGCAUCUAUUCUGCAUGGUGCAGACAGUCCAACUAAAACCACGAAUCUGAUGAGAUUGAUGAUAUAUGCUUCAGAUCUUCGAAAUCGAAUGUAGAUGUGAUUGCCAUGCAAACAACUUUCAAUACUUUCACUCUGAAGAGUUGUUGUCAAAAGCUUGUAUUAUGAUUUUUUUCUUCUAUUUUUACCCUUUUUAAAGAUACUUGCUCGCAUGAAGAAAAUUCUCAAGUUCUUCUUGACGAGAAAAUGACUGCAAUGUUGUAUUCGCUGAUUGACGCGGCAAAGCUUCCGAAAAAGAACUCACUGAAAGAACAAGAGUUCAGAACUCUCGACAUCGUUCAAGAACACCGACUGGAUUUGCCCCUGCGUAGAUCGAGAGGAGGUCGAUUCGAGAUCGAGAAGACUUGCACCCGAGAAGGGCAGCAGCCGCCUUUUGGUUCUUGAGGAAAGAAAACAUCUGUUCGUCCAAGAACAUCAAAGAGAUCUGCCCUUUCGAUCAGUCGGAGAACGAGAACAUUCGGGAUAUAAGGGUGGUUUAGUGCCGCCGUCCAAACAUCAAUGAAGGCAAACAAGAACGAAUCAAGAUGUGUGAGAAAGACUCGAAUGAACCCCUCAAAAUUAGAAGCUUUUCUUUUUCCAUCUCAUUUUAAAAUUAUUUCUCAAGUAUUGGAGGAUGAAGACACGAGGCUGCAUUAAUUUGGAUACGAGCAGAUCUUUGCUGGCAGCCAACGUCAAGGUUCUGUGCAUGAGCAUGGAGACAUCAAAUUAAUGGUAUUCACGUUGCCCGUCUCCAAUAAAUUGCCAUUUAUUAUCGACACAUCAAGGAAGAAAGAGAGAGAAGAAAACCUGGAAACUGGGCCACACUUUGCUUCGUUUACCGGAAGAUUUAGCUAGCACGCAUGUCUCUCCAUGCAUGGGUUUACAGCUUUUACGUUGUCCGAUAUUAUAUUCGCCGACAGCAACAUGUCGAUGAUCUCCUCGUAAGCAAACGUAUGAUUAGGGCUAAUAAGAACGAGGAAAGUUCCACAGCAGUCACAUCGAUCUCACACAGCCGUAGAAAACGUGAGAUAUUGCCCUUCAACCUCAACACGCUUGCUUCUUCGUUCAGCUUUCUUCUUUAAGCUUCCGCGUCCCACCACCGUGCCUGUAUGUAUAUAUACACACAUUCUUGUCAUCCUCUGCAUCAUCUAUCGACACAGCAUGGCAACCUCUUCUUUCGUCUCCCCAGUUUGCUCCUUGGGUUCUCGUCUCCUCGUGAAAACGAGCCUGCACCAGAAGAAGAGAUCAAGGCUCGUGGUUUCUGCUCGGAAGGAGGACGGCGGCGGCCAGCACUAUGGUGGCAGGCUUGUGGACGAGAACAUGGCCACGCUUCGGAGGCGGAUCCAUGAGAUGAAGGUGGCGGAGAACAACUACGAAGCCCCGAGGGAAUGGAUGGAGUGGGAGAGGCGAUACCACGCGAGAUACGGAUCGGAUGUGUCAGAGCUGAUGGGGUUGUUGCAGGUCUUCCUGCUGAACGCACGCCCUGGCGUGGGCUUGGCCGCCAUGGCGAUGCUUGCGCUGAGUAUGCCGGCAUCGGUGAUCUUGAUACUAAUGUCUCGAUCGUUCUAGUGACCGAGCUCAGUAUGGUCUGCAUGCAGCAAUGUAUUCUGGGAUCACAUACGUUGGAACAAGUUGGCUUUGUUAGCAUUUAGAUGCUUACCCAUUGUUUCAUUGUUCCUCAACUCUAUUAUGCACAGAACACCAUUAUAUGGUUGGUUUUGUUUGAAUCGCAAUCGAGUUUUCUAUCAUACAUCGAACAAACAAAUAAAAGGAAGGAAGCACAGCGACAAGCAUCAAAUCCCACCACACUGUCUCUCCUGAGCACACUCACGCAUCCCCCAUCUCUUCUUCCACCUUAUACAACCCUCAUCUUUGCGGACAGGAGUAGAUUGCCCUCGCAAACAGAUGUCUGUAGAUUGUAGCUUUUAUAUCCAUUAUAGGAGAGGAAAAGGGAAGACCAGUCCAAAGAAGUAGGUGCAGUAGAUCUUCCAUAACCACCUCCGACCUCCCUGAGGCUCAGAACAGUAUGCUUCUUCCUUGCCUAAGGCUUGAUUGUUUAUUACUGGUGAUUUUAUAUUAGAUAGCAGUUGAAGUCUUCUUCAGUACUAAGAAUGGUAGUUCUUGAGUUUGGUAGUGGUUGAAAGGUUCUAUCAAUUGUCCUUUUGUGCCUAAGAAAUCUUUUGUUUCUGCACCGAACCCGUAAAGCUUCCAUCGUUUAUUCAACUCGUUUCCAUUGAAUUCUAUAACUUGUUAAAGCCGUUCGAGAAAAGGUCGAUUAAGAACAUUUAUGAUCGGUAGUUAUGUAUAUAGCUUUCUGAAGAAGACCAGUCUAUCUUCCACCCUCGAUCGGUUCCUCCGAAAGAGAAGGAUGGAGAAAACCAGAAAAGGAAGGCGACAACAUGUGCACCCUUCUCCUUUUCUCUUCUUAAUUAACCAGCAGCCGUAUGCUAAACCAUCCCAGCCUACGAAGAGAUACUGAUCAUCUGUGAAAGAUGAUCAACACCAUCACGCAGAAGCAACAGUAUACCAAACCCAGCGUGCACUCCACCAUCUGACGUGCUCCCUCGCAUGGCGGAAGGCCAUGUGGUAUGGUGUGAUCCCUUAAUCUAUUGCACCUUUUCCUCCGUGUCUGCGGCCACCACCGAUCACGCACGAAGGAAGAAGAAGAAGGCACGGUCACCUUCAAGACAAACCACCUGAAUGGACAACAGUAGAAUAAAACGUCGGUUGCAUCGCAGCUUUGUACCAGGCGGUCCCCCUGUUCUUAUUCUUGUUCCUUUUUGUCUGCUUUAUUUCCUCCUCCUUUUCCAUCACAGAUGCAUUGUUUUGUCAUCCACAGAUUCAAUCAAAUCAGUCUCUUCUCUUCCCACUGCAUCACAUGCAAGCAUCCAAAACUAGAUAGUCGGACCAUCUCUUUCCUAAGAACAGAAUACUCAUAUCCUACCUGAGAAUCUUGAGAAAGCUAAGAUGUCACUGGAAGACACAUGCUCCAGCAUAAGAUAUCUCGUUUAGAAUCGCAUAAAUUAGCAGCCGUCACUAUCGUAAUCUUGCUUCUUAUACAGCAGACAUAUACAUUUACUAUUGAGUGUCAAACCAAAGGAAAUUUCAUCCUCUUUGUCUCCAACCAAUCUGAGUAAUUGGUGAAAUUCCACCAGUCCCUGCUUAAGCAUUUCCCUUCUCUCGCUUCCUCAGGAGCAUACUCAGGCGAGAGAAAAAUCUUGACCAACCCUUUUGGUGGAACAGGUUCUUUUCCUCCUUUAGUUUGAUUCACGGUAAAGCCAUCUAAUGACAGUAUCUACCUUUAUGGUCUUCUCGGUCUACUAUGCUCACACUAUUUGGAGCACGAGCAAACAAAUUCCUGUCUUUUCUCAUAGUCGUACGAUCAUAAUUGCACGGCUCCAAUCAGUGUCGCAAACCUACAGGUGGGAUUCUCUCCAAGCUAAAAUCUUUGUGUUUACGGUUUGGCUACGGUGUUAAGAUCCUGCGGAUGAUGAAUGGGGUUUAGCUCUAAUGGACGGUUUGGAUGUGAUUUAAAGGUUCCAAAUGCUCGUAUAAUUAGAGAAGAUCCUCGUUCUCUUUUUCGUACCCCAUAAUACCCCUAACAAGUGAACAAUAUUACUACCAGCCACAAACACGCAUAUCGUGGUGCACUCAAAGCGCACUUUGGUUAGAGCGAAGGAAACGGAACAGUGGCGUUUUGGUGAUUAUCUCAGAAUCGCAGGGCACUCCUUUCACUUUCACGACACGGGGUCAGCAGGCGAUUCGGUCGUACCGUUCCCCAUUCAAAGCGUUACGUAAGUCCACCAAAGACAGAGACCCGUUUCAUGACUCCACAACGUGGCGCUUGCUUUUGACCCUAAAGCAAACACGGACCCCACACGGAGUUUCCAUCGCAAUCCACACAGUUGUGCCUUUUAGACGACACGUCAUUGCGGGUAACGUUCGAGGUAUGAGAGAUUGCACCCCCCGUUCGCUUCCUUACUUUCUCUCCACUCCCGCCGAUUAAAAGCCGUCACCUUCGCAGAGCUGCCGCUCUUUUCCCCGGCUUUUCUUGUCAUCGGGGGCUGAGAUCGAACCCCUACUGGAUCUUUUUCUCCGAUCGGGUGAUGGACCUUGGCGCCGGGGCUGGUGGCGGCGGCCGAGGCGGAGGUGGAGCUGUCGUCCUGUUGUUCAUCGCCUCCGCCGCUUUCGUUGUUGUCUCCGAGGCGGCGCCGGCCGCGUUUGGAGGAGGGACCGCCGGAGAAUCCAUCCCAGGUCGGUGAGAUUAUUUUUCGUUCUUUGUUGGUUCUUGAAGCUUGGAUCCGAUCCCGUCACCUUCGGUCGAGACUGAAUUCUUCAUUCCAAAGAACGUUUAUUGGGAUUUCGAUCGAUUUGAUAUGUAUUGUUCAUGCAAUAAGAUUCUUUUCCGUCUUUUUUGGCUGUUCCCGUUUGAUGGAUUCCUUGGUUGACGAUGUAAAUUGAAGGGGGAGAGAACUUGCCGACAUGGGAGAAGGGUCUGUUGAAGCUGACGUCGAUCGCGUCGGGGCCUGUCGCCACGGCUCCCGACGCGAGGUUUCCGUUGGUCUUAGCGGCCAAGAGGACGAAGAGGCCGGACGUUCUUAACAAGUUCAGGAUGUAUCGAGGGGGCUGGGACAUUACCAACAAGCAUUACUGGGCGGUGAGUUCAUCAAGUCCUCCUCUUUCAUGCUUUAACAUGGUUGUGUUAUAUUAUGAUAUCUUAAGGGCUAAGAUGGCUUUGAUUUGUGAUAGAGACUAUGCUCUUCAACAAACAUAAAGGGAAUCUAUAUAUUUUCUUCUCAAGUGUAAUUGCACUCAUUUGUAUAUAUCUUAUUGUUAUCCCUGUUAUGCAUGUUAAUCAAUCAGGGUUUGGGGCUUUUCUUGUGGUCUUAGCAGAGAUUGCAUUACUGUUUCUGACAUGAUAUUUUAAAUUUUAUUUGUAUCUGUGUUCUUGGAGUUGUGAAUGGAAUUCUACCGACGCCAGAUAAAUAGAUCCCGGUUAGUGUUUCACCGACGUUGGUUCUGUUUUCAUUUUGCUCAUCAAGUUGCAAGACGAUUGAGGAUGGAUGUGGAAUGUCAAGAGAAAUAUAUUGUUUACCCAAUUUAGUGCUAGACUUGCAUGACUUUGUUUCUGAUGAAUGUUUCGCUACAGAUGGUAUCUGUGUGUACUCAUUCUGGGAUUGUAGAUUGGGCCCCAUGAGACACUGUCCAAGGAUGCACAAAAAAGGAAGGGUGUGGUUCUUGCAGCUGGUUUUGAGCAUCACUUGAAAUCCAUUCCUUUCUCUGAUUGCCCUUUUGUACCAUUCCAUUGUUGUGGUCUGAUGCAUGGAUAGCUUGACAUGAUCUUCUAUUUUGGUGAUAAUGUUUCUUGCUUAGAGGGCGGGCUUCGGUAGCCUCGAUACAAUGGUAAGGUAGCUCUUUUAUGACUUGAGAGACCAAGGGUUCGAGUUACAAAGAUGAUCUUUUUUAUAUUAUUUGGAUGUAAGGCUGUGUACAUUGACCUCUCCCAGAUCUCACAAUGGCUAGAGCCUCACGCACAGGGUAUACCUUUUUUUAAUCUUACGUGUGUCAUAGUAUCCACUAUCCAAUUCUUUCAGAGUUUUCAUGUCCCUCAUAAUGAUGUUAUCCAGUAAUUUCAGUUUUGACUCAUAAUAAGCUGGACCAGAGAAUCACAAUAAAGGGUGGCAUUUCAUGUAGCUGGUCUAGAGCAUCUCCUGGGGUCCAUUUCUUUUUCAGGUUGCGUUUGUAUUCCAUCCUAUAGCUAGGGUCGGAUAAUUGGAAAUCUUGUUAUGAUCUUCUAUUUUGGUUCAUAGUCUUGCUGGUGUCAUAGUAUCCAGUUAUUUUGGAGUAUGCAUGUAUCCCAUAAUGAUGUAUCCGGUAAAUUCAGUUUCGACUCAUAAUAAACUGGACCAUCUUUUGAUGUUGUUAAAAAUGCAAACUGGUUUUCAAACUGAUUGCCCUUUUUUAGUAUCAUGUUCUUCUUUAAAAUACACAGGCAAAUAUUAAGUUAUGUUUGCCGUAGUAUUCUAUUAAUUGGGAUUGUGUAUUGCUGAUGAUCCCACCAAAUAUGAUUGGACUAUUCAAGGAGUGAAGAAUGCCUCUGCUUUGAUUAAAUCCAGUCAAAUAUGCAUCUUUUUCAAAAUGUGAAAUCGAUUUUUUGUUCUUUCUCUUGACCCCUAAAUUAUUAUUAGAUGUCUUUUGCUAUAUAUUAACUGCUGUUUGUGUAGUCUGUUGCUUUUACAGGAGCUGCUGGGUUUCUCCUUGCAUUACUGUGGUUGGUUUCCUUUGGACUGGCUUUAGCUAUACGUCUCUGCUGUGGAUGGGGACCACAAAUCAAAGAUGAAGGCUCUUUCUGCAAACAACGUGUUUGUCUUAUGUUGCUGUUCGUCUUCACUUGUGUUGCAUCGUAAUGUUCCUAAGCUCUUAACUUUUUUCUUUGGGCAAAAUUUAAGCUUUACAAUAUCUCCAUGAGAAAAUUCUCAUUUAUCAUCACGUGGAUUAUCAAACGCUAAAUUGUAUGUUAAAUGGCUAAGUGGCAUUUGUCUAACUAGAUCCUCAAGAGUAUGUCGGGUACUUCUUUAAACUGUUAAGCAUGAUCUACAUUGUUGAGAUGUUUUGGCACAUUCAUAUUGUCUGGAGUGGUAUCAUGUAUGUCAUCAAAUAAGAAGCCUGAAAAUGGAUAUAGUUAAUAUGAUUAGUAUGUCAAAUAAAUUGUAGACCAUUUUAAGAUCUGAACCAUUGAUCUGAUUGAGAUACAAUUCGAAAACAGUUUAGUGUCAUCUGGUUGACAUAGAAGUUUGGAAUCUCUGGAUUACUGCGUUCCAUUCUUCAGAUGCUUCUUUCCUAGUUUAUGCGUCAAAUUUGUUUCCAUGCAGGACUGGAUGCAUUCUGCUUUCUGUGGAACAGGCUGAAUUUCAUGACGAAGUGAUGGAUACCUUGAGUUUUGUAGUCAACCAAUCAGAUUUUACAGUUCAGAUUCUAAGGAAUGUCACCGACUUUCUAUCCUCUGCAAAGACUGUCAAUGUUGAAGAGGUCUAUCUUCCACCAGAUGCUCAGAAUGAAAUUGACAAGUUGAAUACAAAUUUAGAUGAUGCAGCUAAUGCUCUUUCAGAGAAAACAGAUCAAAAUUCUGGCAAAAUUAAAGGAGGCAUUGAUUUUGUGUAUGCAUUUACGACAUUUUUGCUACUUCUUUGGUCUGUGUAUCUCAUCUUAAUAUUCCAUGCUUCAUUUUCUCUUUGUUUAGGCAUUGCACAUUGAUCGGUGUAGCCUGUUUGAUGCUUUUGCUGGCCACACUUGGUUUUGGUAUGUAAUCUCUAAUUCGCUAUAUUGCAUUAUCUUCUGACUUGUCUAUUCAUGUCUGUUGUUUGCUGUGUCUUAGUUUUUUGACUAAUUCUCAUAUUGACUUUGACAUGCAAUUUGCAUUUCCCACUUUUUUCUGCUGCAGUGUUUUCAAUAUGUGGGUACAGACACACGAUUUACAUGUAAGUUGAGAAGUUGCAGGUUUGCAGCGUAGAUAAAUUCUGGACUAUGGUGUAUUUUCAUUUUGAAUAAAGAUUUUAGAAGACUACUUAGGCUUCUUCUUAUGUAUAAUCUUUCAGAUUCAUAAUGAGUGGUUGGCUACUUGUGGCAUUUACCUUUGUUCUCUGUGGAACUUUUGUGAUGCUUCACAAGUAAGAAUAUUAAUUUUCUAGUUCUCCUUUUUUUCAUUUGUCCUGUUGUUUAUCAAUCACAAACUUAUCCAUGAUGUUCCGUAAAACCUAGGGAGCACAACAAAUUUGGUUUUCACUUUGGCAUAUCAGAAGAUUCACAAAUGCUUUCUUCUGCAGUGCUACAGUUGAUACUUGUACAGCUAUGGGUGAAUGGGUUCGUUAUCCUUAUGCCGAGACAGCCCUGAGCAAUGUUCUCCCAUGUGUCGAUGAGCAGACCACAAAUCACACUCUGUACCAAAGCAAAGUAGUAGUCUACCAGCUUGUAAACAUAGUCAACACAGCAAUAUCUUCAUCUGUGAAUUCAGAUACCUCGUCUCGGGAGAAGAAAACUUAUUCGUACAACCAGUCUGGGCCCAUGGUUCCUUAUCUCUGUUCUCCCUAUGAUUUCCACCUGCAAAAUCGACAGUGCAACCCUGACGAGGCGUCGGUUGCUAAUGCAUCACUGGUAUGUAAACAACAGCCCUUAAGAAUAGUCCUUAGUUUGCUUUUCCUUAAGUUCAUAUCUUCACGAAGAAUUGAAAAGUAAACUGUACUAUUUUGACGAACCCUCUUCUGAAUUUUUUUCAACUCAAGAAAUGAAACAAGCAUUUGGUGGCUGGUAUGUGCUGUUCUACAUGCUGAUUCUCUAGUUUAUUUGUCUGUUAUAUCCUAGCCAUCUUUGGUAACCUGUGGUAGAUAUUGCACCUUCUGGUUUGAUGUGACUAUAGUACUUACAGGCUCUGCUUAUUUUCAUUACUGUGACCUGCAUGGUUGAAACUGAAACUAUGGAGACAAAAUUCACUUAUAUGACAAAUAGGCUUUGCAUUUUGGCUCCUCAACUUCAGCAGUCUCCUCAAAGCUCUUCUGUAUAACAUGAUCUCUCCAUUUGUGAUCAGUAGCAGAUAUUUAUUAACUGGCCCUUAGAUCAUUUUUCAGGCAUUUUGUCUCAUUUCCUUCAAAGCUCUCCUCUGACUCCUAGGGUACUCAUUUAAUAUUAACAGGCUUUCACAUGUUGAAACUUCUCAGGUAUGGGAGAAUUACACAUGCAAGGUUGCUGAUUCAGGUUCAUGUGUCAGUCGUGGAAGGCUUACCCCUGGCAUUUACGAUCAGCUGGCCAUGGCUGUAAACGUGAGCUAUGCCCUCUACCACUACACACCAUUCCUACUCAGCCUUCAGGACUGCAAGUUUGUCCGAGAGACCUUCAACACUAUCACCACUCUCUACUGUCCUCGACUGGAAAAUAACCUUCGGAUGGUCAAUGCAGGACUAGCACUCAUCUCAAUCGGAGUCCUUUUGUGCCUUAUCUUGUGGAUCGUCAACGCAAACCGCCCCCACAAGGGAGGAGGUGUUUGUGCUGCUGUCUGAAGUUAAGAAUUUUUUUUUUUUCAGAUAGCAGUAUCUUAAUUAAAUGAUCUAAAUUAUCUCCUAGUAUAUAAGCAAUACAUACAACUCUUCUAGCAUUUAUAUCGAAAUCGCAACCCAAGUGGAGCAAAGCGUCACUUGUGGUGAUAUGUAUCAAAUUCCUAUCUCUAGUGCAGUUGCUGUAACUCUAAAAACUCAUAGGUUUUUGAGCCUUAAGAAAUAUAAUAUUAAGUUUAUUUCUCUUUUCAAGUUUGGUGUUUUUUGUGCAGUCUUUGCCAUCUGUUUUUGCAUUGGUGUGAGUCUUGUUCUGUUGAGGCCAGGUGGAUUGGAAGGCAGGUUUAACAAAAGUACUUCCUCAUCCAGGAUCUCAAGUUGCAUCAUUGCCUCUGUGGUGGUCCUUCCUGUAGUAUCAUCAUGUGGAGCUGCUACUCUCCUGUUACUUAUUUCUAAAGGGACCACCUGCAGAUUGAUGGUUGAAUGGCUUUGUUGUACUGAUCACAACUGCUCCAUCAGAUGUUAUAUAUCCUAGGAUCGAUGUGUACUGACACUGACAUGACCCUGACAUAAAACUUUGCUUGGCUU
rnacentral:lncRNA from 1 species